GAGUAUCUUCUUUUGUACUCCAAUGCCCUAGAAGGCACCUAACGUUGGUAGAGAUAGGUCAUUUAUACCGUGUUUCGUGGUAAAGGCUUCUUUGUCUAAUGUAAGCUUGUCAUUUCUUUUUUAUUGCGCCACAAGCACAGCACCUCCCUGAUUGUAGAUUGGUGUCUCAAUCAAAUAGGUCAAUGGUUACACUUGACUUGCUCAUAACUCACUGUAGUAUAUACUUGCCUAGUAGCUUGGCGUCUAUUUACUUGGCCUAUGAAUACCCUUGUCUAUACUAAGCUUUGCCGGUGGGAAAGUAGGCAAUCAGAAAAGGAUUGAUCUAGCCAUACCAAUAAUGUAAAUGAGUGCACAUCAUAUAGAACAGAGUCAAGUAAACAAAACAACCACUGCGUAAACACCAAUAAAAGCAUUAGCACCCCGGCGAACUCCACUCAAUUCCAUUUAGUAAACUUGGGAGCAAUUGCAGAAAAUCAUAUAGCUUGUGUGACAUUAAUAGAAUACAGACAGUAACUAAGCAUCUUACUAAGUUGCGUGCAUGAGAUGUUGUAGCGUAAGGUGGCAGUAGAUUCACAAUCCUAAAGUCAAUAAGCAAGGACAAAUGAGCAAGCAAGGGAACAAGGCCUCAAUCUGAUUCUUUGUUGUCUGCUCGUGUUUUCGUCUGCGCUAACGGGAAGGUUUUCUCCUAUAGAAACAGGUAAUUACAGAAUCAGAGGCUCAAGCAGAAGACAGAUAUCAAACAAGAUCAGGAGCGUGAUAAUAUGGUUAAGAUUCAUAGAGUGGAGUUAUUGUCGACUUUUGGGCAUCAUAUCUUCUUUCUGGAGCACUAAGUCCUUCAUACUCUCUUUAUACUGCCCCGGCCUCUCCUUCCAGACCUGCUUGCUGCAACAGAACUCGUCGACGCCUAACUUAUCUCUCUAUAUGACUUAGAGCUACAGCACCAACUACAAGCCAAUCAGACGAGCAACUACCGAGUUUUGUUCGGGACAGAAUCAAUACCGGCUGAAGCGUUAAGUCAUGCCAGUAAAGUCAGUAUUGCCAGGCCCAGUAUAAAGAAAGCGGGAAAGAAAGUCUAGUUUGAAAGUCAAGUCGUAUCUAAAGGAAGGGUAAUCUACAGAAGGGCAAUCAUCUUAGAGCGGAUUCAGGAUUCUAAUUAGGAUCAUAAAAGUUUGAUAAGAUGAGGAAGCUGUUCGAGUUAGAAGUAACUGUAGUGGCGAGGCCCGUUACUUGUGUAGUAUAUGCUUGGCGGGGCCGCUCUUCAUGCACCUCUUUGAACUCUGUCUCCCCACAGGCUCCUUAGCGCAACUCAAAACUAAGCUUGGCCCUUCCCUUCUGCUUAGAGUCAACUAACCACUCUUGUUCGUUUUCUACCAUCAUUCUUCUCCUCUUUUUUAUAGCUUUCCUUCCUUAGUAGCUUGGUCGGUAGUUAUAACCAAGUCAAGUCCUUUAUUCACCGGUUUUAGUAUGAGUUAGAGGCGAGUCGACUCUUCUAAGACUGGCAAGGAAGCACUAAGUGGCCCAGCCCAAACCUUGUAUACGUGUCAACAGAUUGUUCCGCUCUAGCUCUUUGUCUACGUGUCCCAAUUCUAGUCUGUUUGAGUUGAAUCCGUGAAGUCUACCUAUGCUCUUGUUCUUGCUCCAACGUUAGCUUCAUAUUUCGAUUGCCAGAAAGUAUAUAUCAAUGGGUAAUCUUAUCUAAGGGUAAUCUUAUCUAAAUCUAUGCCCUUUGACCUUUUGCUUUUGUUCCUUACCAUACGCAAGAUAGAGAAAAUUCCGUAUUGGGCAAGGGUUGUGUAUUUACUGGUUUAUUUACCUGGUGCUCCUUCCUUUCAUAAUUGAGUUGAAGAGGGUAAGAAUGAAACCUUGAAUGCACUAGCAAGUUCUUUAUUCUGGCCCUAUUCUUAUUACUUACCUAUUUAGGAGUGGAAUAUAAUAAAUACAGGUACCUGAGUUAGGAGUUCAAUAGGAGUUGAGAGUGGAAUGAAAUACCGCCAAGCUACUACCGCCAGAACAAGAACACACUCGUAUAAUGUAUUAGUUGAAGUUGUUACCGGACAAGCAACGGGACAAGCGACUACUUCAGACGCAGAGGAGAGAAAGAUAACUCCCUGUAUGAGAGCUAUUCUUUGAUAAGAAAGGGUGCACAAUGAUAGGUAGGCAAGGUAAGCACUGCGAGGAAAGUUGACUUAAGUGCGGGUAGGGUAGGCUAAGACAUAAGGUAGUGAGAGUGAAAGCUAUUAGUGGUAGACUUAGUUUAUUGAGUUAGGUCAAGAGAGGUAGUGGUUGGUUUCUUAGUUGUUAGGCGCAUUCCCACAGUUUCUAGUUCAAAAGCACUAGUUUCGAGGUGAUUCCCACUUUUGAUUGAAAGUAUGAUAAGCACUUGUGUUAGUUUGGAACCAAGUAAAGACAGGCAACCAGGUAAUAAUGCAAGGUUUGUUUCCUUCCGUGGGUUAAAGGAUAACAGUGAAGUAUAGCAGUAUUUAGUCCAAUUCUUUGACUUAUAAGUGCAAUUCCUGUCAGCAUUGGUUGAGGUUAGGUGGUCUUGUUAACAGUGAUUUCAAUCCAAUGGUACUAGUUUCUUGCCUUGUAUUAGUGACUUGGUGGUUUAAAGCAGAGAUACAGUUUUUCAGUAAAGGAAGGGAGCCUAAAAGCCAGUAGCUGAAGAGUAGGUUUCAGAAUUCGAUAAAGUAAUGGCAGACUAACAAUCGAACAUAGGGUUUUUAGAGCUGUAGCCUAGGACUCAAAGCCGGGAAAGGGCAGACCAAUCGACCGAGACAGGUAAUUAGAAUAGAAGUGGUGUCAGCGAGGCAGGCUCAUAGGCUCAAUAAGGAAUGGGGUUAUAGCCCUGUUGGUAUUAACAUAAGAUUGGAAGUUAGGAUCGCUCCCAAGAGAGUAAGAAAUAAGAUCCGGAAAGGUAGACUUAAAACAAGGAGAUAGAUUUCGCAGUGAGAGCCUUAAAGGCAUUAGUGAAAGGCUAAGUUGUGUGUUUGCUUUUUAGGUUGGAUUACCGGUUUCAAGUCCCAUUCUGACUUAUGUCUCUCACAAGGCUCGAACAGUGCUAUGAUAGAAUCAAAUCAAUACAAAUAAUAGUUCUUCUAAUAGUUCUUUCACUUAUUGAAUAACAAGGCUAGAAACUCGUUACUAGAAAGAAUCAUACUAAACGAAAGGGAAUCAAACACAGAAGUUGUAAAUCAACUGGAACUUUAGCCACUGAUACAGAUCUUCUUCCACCGACUCAGUACAGACACAGUAGGAAGAACAUUCCUACGAUAAUUACAUCUUUUAGAAGCUUAUAUUAGAGACUUGAUUUUGGUACACCUCGCAUCAAAGCAGUAGAAUCUGUCCUGUGUUUGGGCACCCGACCUAUACAGCAAUCACCCUCGCACCGCUCGUCGUCAACAACUUCCACUUUAUUGCUCUAGUAUAUGCUUGGCUGUUUCCAAAUGAAACUACUCCCCUGAUAGAGUAUGCUCCCACUCUUUAUGUAGUAGUGGAAUUUCAAUUGCCCCUACUUUGAAAGAAGCCCCCUUUUCCUCUCUUGCAACAAAGACUUUUAUUGCUCUCAUCUGAUAUGCACUUGAGAGUUGAAGGCUUGAAGACCAGACUGAGACCUAUACUAAGCCCACGGAGCUCCCCAAAAGUCGACUCGGCUACAAACAAAGUGAGUGCUGAAAAGGACUGGUAGAAUGGAGUUUCUUACUAUCAGAAUGGAAUUACAGAAUUUAUAGCACUAGGUAAGUAAGGUGUGUUGGCUUAGAGUAUCUUUCUUGCACCUCACUAUAAAGAAAGCUUGCCCCAACUCUAUCUGACUGGCCUCUCUCUCCUUGCAAAGAAAUAUGUAGGUAUUCUUACCGCGACUCCGAUUUAGUGCAGAGGUGAGACUACUCCCAACAAGUCUUGUUCUUGUGCGAGUCAAGUCUAGUUCUGGGAAAUCCUAUAGAAAUAAGCCCCUGCCCCUUAACUAAACCAAUGGUUCUCCUCGUAUUGAGCUCCCGCCGCUAGUAAUAAGCGAACUUCAUUAAUUGCCUUAACCGCUACAUGGGCAUGAGAUCCUUACAGAUAAAGAUCUUCUGUUGGGCCUGUACCCGCUCGAUAGCCAUUAUUUCUUAGGGCCUUAGAGUGAUAGAUGCGCUACUUAUGUAUUAGGGCCUUCUAGUUUGAAUUGAAUUCUUUCCUCAAUUAGUCACACAAGUUCAGGGUCUGUUUCCGUUUCAGAAUGAUUUGUAUCCUUAACAGAGGUAGGCAAUGGAAGUCGCCAAAACUAGAUGUAGUACGGGAUGCUCUAUAUUAUAGUAUAGGAUAUAGAAAUUGACAACCCGAACCGACCUAUACAUGAAGGGAACUUGACUUUCCAGCUCCUGCUUCUAUAGUUGACAUACUUGUUAGGGUGUGGGGUGCCUCUAUUCUCAAGUCGGGGCAGAGAAAUAAGAAUGAAAGAUAUCUGGAGAAAAUGCAUUAUCACAGCCAAUAGGUCAUUUGCGACUUGUUGAUGAUCCGGAAACCGCUUCUGAUCUUGUAACUACUGAUUAUCCUGAUCACUCUACUUACUACUCUAAAGAAGGGAAUCUCCUCUCCACUAGUUCAUAGGGAAUUCCUCAGCUAACCAAGCGACUAGUACUGAGGCCAAGCGUAUACUUUAGAAUGGAAUUUGAAGCCCUUAUAUUAAGUCGGCGAGGCAAGAAGAGAAGAGAUACUGACUUGACUCUAAAUCAGGUGUUAAAGCCAACAACUAGAAAUCUGGGUGUACCCGUGUAGAGGUGAAACUUAGAGAAAGAUGGUGUGAAAACUGGAUAAGGAUCUGAAGCUGAAGGUCGCGUCAUCAAUGGGGGUAAUAACCUUAGGAGAAGUUGCUCUGUCACAUUCCUCACCGCACUCGUACCCAACGUAUGAAGUACACCACCCAACCCCCAUGCCUAUGAAGUAGCAGAAACCCUUCUUUUGAGUGUUUUAAGGCACCAAGCAUAUACUCAUGAAUGUUGCGCGGCAGAGAGCUCUAUGGCUGUGGGGAUCCCUCCUUUAUUAGUAUGAAAGUAUAAGACCGGAUUUCUAGUUUCAUCCCGAGUGUCAUCUAAGUUGGAAGCAGUGCCCGAGUAAGCAGAUGGAGUUGGAAGCUGUGCCAAAGUAAGCAGUUAGAGCAGAGCCCCCAAACAGGACUUGCUAGAGUAGUAGCGAGUUGCUUGGCUCUUCAAACAGAGUAGAGUGGAUUUUGGUGCUUCUUCAAGUCCAGAAGUGUUCUGAAGCCAACACCGAGUGAGUUGGGGCAAUCUGAUAGUCAAGGAUUUUAUGCAGUAGAGAGUUCGUCAGCGGGAAGUGGAUCUGCUUUAUUGAGUUCAGUAGUUCUGGUUCUGAAAGAAAAUAGAGUUCGGGUGCUUGGCAGUACCUUAGUUGUAUAAGAGAAUGCCCUUCUUCAGCGCUAACACUUACUUUAGCGAGUCCGUUAGCAGAAGCCUAAGCUUGUGGAGGUUAACUCCUAUUUCUAUUUGUUGGAAGUUAAGGUCCGAGUACCGUUGCUAACUUAUAUUACAGUAGGCGACGAGAGAUAGGUUCGGGGAAGUCAAGUUCAGAGUUUAGAUUAGAGCCAGCAUAAACAGGAUCGGAAUGAAGUCUCUUCAGCUGGCGUCGAGUUCUGGUGAAAGAAUCCGCUGUAUAAAGAUGCUGUUAGGUAUAAACGUUAAGGAGCAAGUAAAGUCUUGGAGAGUUCGGGGAACAGAACCCGAAGAAAUAGAAUUAGUAGUUUCAGGUCAAGGCCAAACAUAUGAAGCAGUAAGAGAAGCAGUUUAUGAAGUGUUACCAACGAAAGGGCGUUAACUUGGCGAGUGGAAUCCCCCUUGUAGAAUGCUUAUCUUGGUCCUUGUAGAAUCCUUAUCUUGUUGGAUCAAAAUACGGAUCUAAAGCAGCAAGCGGUGGCGUUGAACAAAACAAGUGUUUCUUUCGGGCUACAAAUGCCAUAAAACAUCCUGGGCAAGAUAGGUUAUUUGCCAUAAGAGGAGUUGCACAUAGGUCUGGAGACGAGUUAAUUCACUCUCCUAAGCUUCUCCAUUAGUAGUUUCGCUUGUUGGGUUUACUGCCCUGCCCGUCUUGCCUUGCACUCUAACUCGAAUAAUGCGCACAAACUAACAAAAAGUGCAAAUAGAAUUUGGAUUGGGUAGCAGAACACCAACAGCAGUAUCAAAAACGGGGAUCAGGAGAAGGAUCAGUUCAUAAGUAAGGUUAAGGAAGGCGACUAAGAAAGCACUUGUUCUUUUGUCAAUAGAGAAAACCUGUCCGAGGUAAGAAAUAGAGAGAAAAGCACCUGUACGGGAUAGUAAAUGUCCUGUAUUUGCAAGUGCUAGCAAGCGAGUAUAAGAAGCAAAUUAUGUUUAGUCCAACUCAGGUAAAUUCGAACUUUCAUAUACACUUUCAUAUAAGAGAACUCGGCACUAGGUGUGGGUUAGUUACCGAGAAGUUGGGACAGAAAGGCAUAAAUAAGGCAAAGCAACUACUUAUGAGCAAGUCCGAGAGUUUGACCCGACCAAGUAGUAGUAACAGAGUAGAUAGGAUGAAACAAGCUGGAUCAAAGAAAGGUGUUGUCGACUUGAAUCCUAUUAAGUAAGAAGAUAAGCUGUAAUUGUACCAAUCAUCAGUAGGAUCUGGAUCAGAAACAGAAGAAAGUGAGUCAGCAGGAACAGUGUGGUAUCAAAGUGAAGGUGCAAGCGCGUAUAUCGGUCGAAAGGAAGCCAAAGCAUUAUAUAUAGAAAGGUCAAUAUUAGACACUUAUAUACUUAAGGAGCAAGUAAAGGUGUGCGAGUAAGGUACUAUAGCUAAUUGUUCGUUUUAGGUCGGGGAAGAAGAUAGUCUACGAGUUCCAUAAGCGGAAGCGAGGUGUCAAUCAGUAAAGAGAGGUUAUUGGCCAAAGUCAAAGGCUACUCAAUAAGAUUAUGUUAUCAAGUAAGGUUAAGGCAAUGUUGUUUGUUUUGUUGUAUAAAGAAAAGAAUAUGAAGAAAGAUCAGUAGCAGGUAAUAUUCCAGAGUUCUAUACUAUAAGGUGUAGUGGGUAAGCUCGGUUAAGCUGUCAAUAAGUCCAUUUUCGUCGAGAACACUGAUUCCCUUUAUUAACCUGAACCGUUUGCUUACUUCCUAAAAUCCGCGAAUCCUUCUUGCGCAAUAAAUUGAGGAGCACCCGGUAUAAGUAAAUACACUGCAUCCCUUAAUUGAGAUGGAGCUUCCACUUAAGGCCAGAUAUUGAUUAUUCUCUUAUUCCAUUCCCUUAACCCAGCAUUCAUCUAUCUUUCUUGCGCCGCUACUUGUUGCUACGCCUAAGCUUGUUCCGUUGUUUGUUUGUUCCGUUCAAAUCGAAAUAGUUAGGUGCGUGCGGGUGCUUGCCAUCCGGCCUUCCCUACUACUAAUCUCCACCGCAUAGCCAGCAACUCCAUCUUUGUUGCAAAGGUCAAAGAGGGACUACGGAGCCACUGAGGAAGUAGCAGAGGCCUCCACCAAAACCUCAUUGUGGAAGUAUGGAUGAGAAAUGAAUCAAUAUACAGAUUGGAAUAAGAGAUGGUGGUAGAAACAUUGGAAUAAGAGAUGGUGGGAACGUUCAAGAAAACUGCCAGCUUCAUCCCAGUCUGCAUUUGCCAAAGCUUUAUCACUCAACUAAUACUGUUGACCUAAAAACGGUUCGCCAUACAGAAAUAUAGAUAUGAAAGACUGGUGAGAGGGAAAGAGCGCUCUAUAGGUGUAUUGGAUAGGGAAGGCGAAAAAAGGCCUAUAUCAGAGUGCUUUAGCGGCUUUCUUUACGCAGGUAUUAUUCUUGUCUAGGUGCGGGGCAAGAGCUAACCGUCGCCGAGAUUCAUCGAUUUCUGAAUCAAUCCACUUCUACUCACCUCGACCGAAGUAGGUAGGCAAUCCAUUUAUUAAUCAAUCCACUUCUCCUCCUGCAGUGCCGAGAUUCAUCCAUUUAUUAAUCAAUCCACUUCUACUACAUAGGGAAACGGAUAGUCACUCUUAUUAUCUUUAUUGCUUCAUCCUCUAGGCACCAUUAUGAUACUUGAGAUUCUGUACUUACUAUACCCGAUAAAGAAGAAGGAAUAUGUAAGAAGCGGUUUUGUGAGAAGUUAGUAUACCAACCCAAUCUCGAUCAAACAAAGUGGAAGGGGUAAAUAGUGUGUUACACAUGUCCUAACCCAAAGAUCCGCUUUCCUCUGGUCAUUGCCUAAGUCAGCUUAGCUUCGACUCAGUCUAUUGCUUCAGCAGAGUUAUUAGAAAGAGUUACAUUCGCUCGCCUUUCCCAUAAUGACUUGGCUAGAAUCCAAUCAGGUCCAUCAAUCAACAUCAAAUCUGGACUUGAGACCAUCAGGUAUAAGACUUUAGGCUGAGCGCCAAUGCCACUUGGGCCGCAGUUGGAAUUGAAUGGUACUGUACUUUGGUGUAUCAGUAAGUGGGUAAUCUGAGUUUCGAUUCUUUUAGUGGGAGGUUCAAAACAAAAAAGCAUUCCAAAACCCUUCUCUCGAGUUUGAGUAUACCCAUUACCAGAAAAAGGACGGGACACAUCAGGAUAGCCGCCCCGCUAAGUAAGCAAAAAGAGCGAAAACUCAAACUGUGCCUUCCUUCUUCUCAAUCAAUAAGAAAUGUCAAACUGUGCCUUCUCUUCUUACUGCUGCUAAAGCCGUUGAUUUGAAAGAUGGAGUCUAUGUACAAUGCUUUCGAAUCAGAUAAAAGGAAGAGUCAGAAGCAAUAUGUUUCAUUAAUGGAAUUAGUGUGAUCUAACUCUCGUGCCCAGCUAGAUCGGGUUGCUCUUCAUUACUGCUUUGCUUUUGUUUGUUUGCUGGGAAGGGGUUUUAUGGAUAACAAAGAAGACCUCAUGCCGCCCGGUCCUGUUUCUGUUUCUGGUUGGGAUCGGAGGAAAGAGAAACUCAAGAUGAACCCGCUCAAAUGUGCGUUGGGGGCCCCGGGACUGAAGGAAGUAGGUUUUCAUGGAAUAACCAAACUCGUAAAAGAAAGAGUGAGGCGCGAAUGUGAAUAGCUCUUUUGGAUUCCCCCACUACACGGUUAGGAGGCGGUGAUUCCUUUCAGAGUAAAGAAGACAUCUUCAUAUAACGUCUGAAACAAAGGAUUCUCAAACCAAUCCAUCCCGAACUGAUCCAAAAGUUAUUGCUAUUCGGCUCCAGCAGGUUCAAAAGAGAAUUACGGAGAUUGAAGAGAUCGAAUUCCUACCGGGACCCCUUGACUCAUAGCAAGAAAAAAGUAAGGUGCUGAAAGCCAGUGAUACACUGAUGGUUCUUUUUGUGCACAGGGACUCUGCCUUUUCCCUCGCCAUAAUAGUCGCUGCUCUUUGAGAAUUCUCAUAGCUUUUACAAGAGCCAAACUCCACUUAUUAGCUUUGACGGCUCCAUGCUGUUUGCGUCGUAAAAAACGGAUAUCUCCUUUUUCCCAGACAGGAAAGCAUAAUGAAGUUAAGUAAAGUAAACACACUUAUUCAAAUAGAAGUUCAUUAAUCCAGAAUAUUAGUGUAACAUCCUUAGCUUAUUUAUCGGGGGUAUGAUCGACACCAGUACAAACUCAUAAAGGACCUUCAGCCAGCGCUAAGACCAUCACAGGCAAAAACUCACCCUCUAUCUUAUGUUUUGCUUUGUCUUUAUCUCCCAAGAUUAGAGGAUUCUCCUUCUUUGUACAUUAGUGAGGGGAUAGAUCCGGACAAGCACUGCCACAGGAACAGUGCCAAUAUGCUAUAGGUGUCGGCGAUAGAAGAAAGAGGAGUUUCUUAGAAGAAGCCGCUCGACAAGAGGGUUCGAUAAUAGGGUACUGUCGAUGAAGAUCCAAAAAGCCUUUAUGCAUGCAUCUCCGUACAAGUGGAGGCCAUGGUUUAUGAUUGAAUCUCAAAGUCGAGCACAUGUGAUAAGAAAGUGCCUCUUUCAAAGGAACGAACAGCUUUCUCAUCUAAAACACUUUUCUUCAAUGAGCUUCUAUCUUAUGGGGUUGCAUGCCCUCGGCAAUGCUUUUUGACUUGACUUUCCCCCGCUUGACUCUUGAGAAAAAGGAGACUGCUAUAUCACCAACGCAGAAACUGACAAAAGCUAGGGGAUUGGCUCCGGGUGUUCCAUGCUUCAAUUACUAGCUCUGAUUCUGGAUUUCCUUCCCGGUAGUCUGCAUUCUUUCUCCGUCUAUUGGCAUUGAGUGAAGAGAUUCAUUCUCAGAGGUUUGUUAGUUCUAGUGAUUUGACCCUUCCUGGGCUGCCUAUGGAAUGUGGAUCAAUAAUCUCCUAAUGAACUAAACCCUUCAGGAAGACUAUUACUAGCGGGAAUAGGAAGAGGACAGGUAUUGACUCCAGAGAUGCUUCUGAUUCAACAAUUCCAGCUCUUACUCUAAAAAACACUUGAUUAUUUGACUUUAAUGACUCUCUUCUGGGGCAGGCUCCUCCAAUAAGCAGGACUGGUACAAAAAGGACGUAUUUCCAUUCUUUAGGGAAAAGAAAAAGAAGGUGCGUUGCCGGGCCGAGUACGAAGUGGCCAACUAACAGAAGAGAAACGAGACGACAGACCGGCUCAAAGAUGCUUACUAUUGAAUCUUCUAAUGAACUUAUUCCCUCCAUGAAGACUGAUUCGCCCGAAGCUAUCCCUAGACUUAAAAGUGUUCGAGUGCCCGCAGAGAACAGCUUCAAAUCAAAGCUAUGAUUCUCAUUGAUUCUUAGGCUUUAUGAUUGGAUAUCUCUUCCAUUAAUAAUCUCCACUUCCACUGGAUAUCUCUUCCAUUAAUAAUCUCCACUUCCACUUCAUAAGAUAGGGAAAGAGCUAUGAGAUAGGGAAAGAAAGAGCUAUGAAAUAGGGAAAGAAAGAGCUAUGAGAUAGGGAAAGAGCUAUGCAUGGGAAAUACAGUGUUCAAUUCGAAAAGAAGUGCCUAUUUCAAAAAGAGGACGGACUUCUUUCGUAGAAGUUAUGCUGAACAGGCAAGGGGGCAGGAGACAUAUCUCUUUAAGAAGGAAGGAAGAACGGAACAGUCUACUAAUUCAAUAUCAUAAUGGAUUCUCUGGAUUUCUCUAGAAAAUCAUAAGUGUUAGGGAAGAGUGGAAUUCGAUUUCUGGCUUCUGUGCUCUGAACAAGCAAGGAUAGCUCGCCCUGUAUUGCAGUCUUUCUCUUAAAUGGAACCGAAACACUCCGGUCAGAAGAUAGAAUGAGAGCUUGAAGGAAAGAAAGUAGGUAGCGUAGGUUCUAUCCAAACUACUGCCCUGUCAUAGCCGAAACUGCGGCUUUCGAACUUGAUUAUAAAUGUGGGAUUCCUCUUUUCCCGGCCUUAUUAGGCCACUGAUUCUAGUUAAGCCAAUCUAAUCACCUGAACGAUGGGGAGAGUUUCUUCACAAACGGAUUUCCGCCUUGACCUCGACUGAGGAUUCCUUCCAAUAUCUAUCUUUCUUCACUGGCCAAACUCACCCUCUUUCUUGCUUUUGACUGUUUUCCAAAAUGAAAGAAAUAUAGGCAGUGAAAAGUUGGAUUGGAUUCUCUUAGGUCGAUGUUACAUGCGGGAAAACUAGGGGUUGUGCCUAUGAACUCUUCCUAAGGCUCUGGGUGUUGUGCCUAUGAACUCUUCCUAAGGCUAUCGAUAAGGGAUUGAUUCUAUUCAAAGACUGCUUUCCUUCUUGUCCACGCUUUCUGUUACUUGCCUUAAUGAGAGGGCCUUAAGAACUUUUAGCUGACCCAUCAAACUGGAAUACUGAUCUAUUCGAAUAGCUGGUUUUCCACCCCGUGCAGGCGUCCUAAAACUCUCGGAUUAUGCCAAUCAAUAGGUUUCAGUAUUUUGAUGCCGGAAAGUAGGGAAAAGAAGCAUUUGACCACCCGAGCAUAAGUUCUCCAUCCAAGUAAGGAGUGAGUCAUUAUAGUUACCAUUCUAAGUAUUCUAAAUACCCGGAACAGGAAAGAUGCCCCGAAGAUCCACCCGCACACCAGCAGAUUGAAAAGUGGCACGCCUUUGAGAUAUAAGUUGAGAAAAUGCCAAACCAAAGAAAGAUGAUUGAAAAGGUACUGAAAGAGCAUCGGUAAGCCUAUCAAUUAGAAGUAAAGCCGGGCAGGCAUAACGCAAGGUAAUACUUGGAAAGUCAAAUAGAAAUAGAAGAGGAAUAGAGUUGUUUCAAGUAUCAUAGAGGAAUAGAGCAGUGGAAAGUAUCAUAGAGGAAUAGAGCAGUGGAAAGUAUCUAGAGCAGUGGAAAGUCUCAUAGAGGAAUAGACCGAGUAGUUGAGCAGGCGUGCAAGAUGCCUUUGCAGUGUAGCCUAGGUAGAAGCUAAACAUAAUGGACGGUUUAGCAAGGUCAAGGACAUAGGAUGGCAAGCUAGCUUUUGAUUCCACUAUACAUCUGAUUUCUUCUUUCAGAAUUAUCUCGUUGCGAAACACUCAUUAUUCUUUUGGAUUCAUUUGGGCUUUUGCUCCUAUGGUAUGAGUCUAAAGUAUAAGUCAGUCUUGUUAAUGAAAAAUAGUAUCAAUGUGGGGCCCAUUCCAUUUUGUCGAAAAUAUGGAACUCACACUAAACGAUCCGUGGUACAAUGACAGCUGAUUAGACUCGUAGGGUAGUUUUCCUAGUUUCAAGAGAAAAGUGGAGUUAGAACAUAAGAAUAGAACCUAGUUUCAAGAGAAAAGUAGAGUUAGAACAUAAGAAUCGAAAUAUGAUUGAAAUCAGCGUCCGACAACACGAUUAUACGCAUUUCUCCAAAGAGGCUAUCGUCCCGCCACCUUUCACUGUCCUGUCGUUUUCCCCAUUUUGAUAACCAGCAUUCUCAUUUGUCCUCUUUUUCCAACUAAGAGAGGAGCGCUGGGCUCUGUAAGCGAGCCAUUCUUUAGUACAUAGUCGCUUGAAUGGAAAUGCACUACAAAAUAUAGAAGUAAGUAACUUAACUGCCUAUCAUCUUUUCGCCUUUCUUGUUGAGCUAGCGUAGCGAGUUCUUUAGCGCUGUAGUAUGAGUGGUAAACCCAUUUAUUGCGUUAGCGAGCUAUGCCUUAUUACGCUUCUAAAGCGGAGCUCGUUCUCUUGCUUUUGGCCUGAGCCAGAUAGUUUCUGGAUUUGAUGUUUUUGACCUGUAGCAAUCAGCUACCUCUAUCCAGCGGAUCUAUGGCUAGGGCAAGCAAAGGAAAGAGACUUCAGCAAAGAAGAAGGAAAGGCUCCAACCGGUAAAUAAUAAGCGGAAGUAAGCCAGCUCUAAAAAAGCCCUUGUGCGCCAUCUUUUUGUUAAGCCAGCCAGCAGGAGCUUCCAAAAGUCUCAUAAACCACUGGAGAGUCCGCCGAACCUGUGACAAUUGGAGUCAAAGGGUAAUCCCUCCCUACUUGAUUGGGGUAAGCCUCGCCUGUUGCUGUAAGCUUUUACAGAAUUCAACCCAUAGAAGAGAAGUCUCAAUAUAUAAGUCAAUUCCAUUCAUAGAAUCUAAUUUCUAAUAUAAGUCAAUUCCAUUCAUAGAAUCUAAUCUAUAAUAUAAGUAAAUGAAAUGAAGAUAAGUAAAUGAAAUGAAGAUAAGUUCAUAUAUAAGGUCCAAUUCUAUUAGGAGUUUCUAGUAGCAAGCAAUAGGAUUGUUAGCAAGUUCAUUUGAAAGAUUUGAUGUUCAUCUCUUAGCAGUUCUCUUGGGAGGAAAAUAACAUCUCGUUCUCUUACAUCUCUGUAAAGCCUUCGAUCGGUUUUGUCUCUCUCUUGGAAAAUGAAUCCUUUUCUGGGCUUCGCACAACGGCUAACUCUCUGUAUGGAGUGUACCACGCCUUCUUUUAUAUUGAACUUCUAGCAUCUUUGAAUAUCAUAGUUCUUUUUCUCCAGCAGGAAUCUAUCUCUCUCAGCAAUAAAAAACGUAGCUAUUAGGAAUAGCUUAAGCCUAUAAUAGAAUAUAGCCCUAAAAAGCAGAGAACGGAGGAAGUUUCCUUCAUCGCUCGGUGAGCUAUUAAUUGCCUAGCGCUUCGAUUGCAUGCAAGGUGGCCAGCGCAGCGCGGGCGAAGGAGAUGCUUCUGGUAGUACUGGAUAAGCUCUAGGGGAAUAAUCUCUUUCUUCCGUUUUUCUUCCUUUCUUUCCCAUGACGACUAGGAACGGGCAAAUCAAGAAUUUCACUUCGAAUUCCGGACCUCAACAUCCUGCUGCUCAUGGUGUUUCACGAUCAGUAUUGGAAAUGAACGGAGAAGUAGUGGAACGUGCGGAACCACAUAUUGGAUCACUCCAGUGCGGCACGAAGCCGCUGACGCUGAGUAGGCUCCUAUGCCGCUAGCUAUGCCAAGCAAGGUCCCCAGGCACAGUAAGGGUUUGUUUCGUAGCGCGUCAUGAGCACCGGUCAAAGGGGAAGUUCAGCAACUCAACCUAACCUUAAUACCUUACUUUGGAUAGGGAUAGAAGGGAUAAGGUUUUGAAGGUGGCCUCGUUAUCCACACAUAUGUCGGAUGAAUAGAGAACCGACCUGGGUUUGAACCAUAGCGGGUCCUGGAGUGCCCGCCCUAUUGGAAUUCGCUAACGAACCCCGGGGUGAUCAUCACUACCUGCACCUAACAUCUCGGCACAGUGGAACGUGUAACCUGCCAGCUGUCCAAGUCAACUACUCAAUAUCUGUUAAGUCAAUAUCCGUUAAGCGCCUAACAGAACGUAGCAGCCACCUAUACAGACAGCAAGCGGGGAGGAUGGCACUACUGGCAAAGACCGUCUGGCGAAAACGCAACAGGCGCGAAGCGUGGUAGGCAAGCGCCAGGGGAGCAACGGGAGGAAAGGGAGCCCGGACGGUGUAAGAGCCAGGGGAGGCCGGGUCAUUUAACGGAAAUCAAAGGGGUCAAGUAACUACAAACGACCGCAAAGUAACUACAAACAGGCAAGCAACUACUAUACAAGUAACUCCAAAUGGGCAAGCAGACAAUAAACAACUACAAAGACAGAGAGCCAAGCAGACAAGACACUGCUAAUUAGCUUCCUAUGAACGUUGGGAUUUUCGAAUUCAUGCAGCUCGAAUGGCGUGAGCCGCAUGCGGAGAGACCCGCACGUACGGUUUUCAGGGGGAAGAGGCCGAAAGACCGCGCCCACCCGACUAGAGGGACUGAGAAAUUAAUUGAGUACAAAACUUAUCUUCAAGCUUUACCUUAUUUUGAUCGUUUAGAGGGCGAUCGCGGAGUCACUGAAUGGAAGUCCUCUCUUUCUUUCACCAGCAGCGAGGCAUAUAUGACUAAGUAACAUAUUGAAUAUGUCGACGACAACAGCAUGUCGUAUAAGGAGAUAACAGGUGGUAGAGCCCUAAGACGUAUCCUAAACUACAUCCCCGAGCGGCAGUCAAACUUAGGCGUGAAUGCAAGAUGCCAGCGGAAUGAUCGGCCGGACAGAGGCUAGGGCAGCUUCCUUCCUUGUGUGUCGGAGAUAUAAAGCGAGUGCACCGGAAAACAAUUGGGAACGGAGUCGAUCUAUUCCAUGGCGAAGCAUCCGAAGCAUAACUGCACACUCUGACUAUCUUUGCCGAGAGAUAGGAGCAUUCGGUGGAACCGGUGAACUACACUUGCUUCUUUAUAGAUGUGUGGGACAGAGGGCUCGUGGUACCAGCUGCCCACCCUUCCUCCGCUUUGAUAACCGUGUGAACGGAAAGUGGGCAGAGCAAAAGGGAAGGAGGUCCUCAUACAGAGUCUAUCACUUUCGCUUUUCCGUGCGGGAGACUAGAGAAUGGGUCGAGUAAACUCCCUUGGGGUCAUUACUUACUAAGUGUUUUUUCACUUAACAAUAAAGUCGUCUAGUAUGGAUUUUCAUUAGUGAUUCGAAAGGUUGGUAUCUUACUUCUAUGAUUCGAAAGGUUUGUAUCUUACUUCUAAAGGAAGGCAGAGGUAAUUCGAAUGGCGAAGAGAGGCGGCUCGGCUCGGUAGGGAAGGAAUGGUCAAUCGUUCAAUAAUUAAGGAAUUCUUUGUUGGCGAAACGAUGAGGGGUAGAAAGCAUGCCAGUGAUUCUCUAAGCAUUUCCAACGCUUCGGGAAACUUGCCGAGAUAGAUGAAAGCACCUUUUUCUCCUCUUCCUGACCUUUAAGGCUAUCUUCUAUUCUUCUUGCCUUCACUUCACCUCCUCGUAAAUAGAACCCUUCUGAUCCAUUCAUUUCUGCAAGCAGGCGGAAUCUAGAGCUAAGCCCCACUCCUAUGCAAUCAAAAGUACUUAAAUGAAAGCGCAAGUACCCAACUUUUUCACUCUAAUCAAAUCAGAAGCUUACUCAAGUACCAAAGGCAGGAACGUGGUUUCGUUGGGGAUGGAUUCAGUCAGCUAAAAACCCCAUAAUUGAUUCAUGCUAGUCCUACUUCUAUUGAUUUCUUUUUCUGAUUAAUGCUUAGUCCUACUAGAUUUCUUUUUCUUAUUGACUUUUAGUAGUCUGCUUUCCGUUUCUGACUUUUAGUAGUCUGCUUUCCGUUUCUCUUUGCAGCGAUGCCCCUUUUAUAAAAGCUUAGCAUCUUAGCUUCCGAGGUUAGGGUCAAUAGCCCUUUUUCUCAAGCUUCACUUUCUCUCCCUGCUUGAAACAACUUGAGCUUUAGCUUCCAAAGGCUACCACGUUUCUGUCAUUGAAGUUGCCUUUCGUCGCCCGUACCCUAAUAAAUAAGUCACUAUCCAACUAAACAGCUUGCUUGCCCCCUACUGAAGUAGCAAAGCUCUGCCCGGUGACUCUUAAUGAGUUUUCCACUUCCAGAAGUCGGGCUCCCGAACAAAGGACUUGGUUAUAACUUGGAAGGAAUUAUAGGAAGCAGCCCUGCCUAGCAACGUUAGUAGUCCAAUGACUCCCAAAAACAUCUAUUGUAAUUAAAAGAGUGGAGCGGCCCCAAAAGCAUCUAUUGUAAUAACUUGUCAUAUCUAUUACCUUGGCUACCGCACUUAGUCUUGCGCCUAAGCUUGGUCGUUAGUAGUUGCUUGGCCUGUUGCUACCGCUGAAAACAUAGAUUGUAAUAACUUCGUAAUAACUGUAUAUUUGCUGCCGCAUCACAUUAGCAGCUCAAUAACUCCUGCCGCGCAACGUUAGUAGUUGCUUGGCGGCCGUCUUGCUUAGUUGCUUGGUCGGCACCCGAACACAGGAAUUGUUAUAACUACGUCAUAACAUACUUAUUAUUGCUGCCGCGUAACAUUAGUAGUUACUUGCCCAGUGCCUUGGCGCCUGUUGCUGCCGUUUUUUAGCUCGCUGCCGCUAUUAAUUAGGACUUGCUAACAACUCAUGAAAACUGUUAUUAUUAGUUUAUUGCCUUCUAUGUUUUUGUAGUAGUUACUUGGCCGUCUUACUUAGUUGCUUGGCCCCUCUGCGCCCAGCUCACAAUACCAUUCUAAUAAGUAAAGUUCUAAUAAGUCAAGUAGUGGACAUUUUCUCCAAUAUGAUUGAAUAGCAUUGCCGGAGGCUAAGGUCACUCUUGUGGGAGAGCCGUGUUAUGGGUGACCUUAUUGCACGGUUCAGAGAGCACUUGUGUAUGUGAUGCAAGUGAACGUGUACGAAAAAGCUGUCGUAAGGUUUCGUUGUUCGUUCCGUCGUCGACCCUAUCUAUGUUUCUAUGAUGGCCCAAGAACACGCUCAUUCUUCAGCAGUUGAGAAACUCUUGAAUUGCGAGGUACCAUUACGAGCUCAAUAUAUACGAGUGUUAUUCCGUGAAAUAACUCGAAUUUCAAAUCAUUUACUAGCUUUAACUACUCAUGCUAUGGAUGUGGGAGCAUCAACUCCGUUCCUUUGGGCUUUUGAGGAGCGGGAGAAAUUGUUGGAAUUCUAUGAAAGAGUCCCGGGAGCCAGGAUGCAUGCCAGUUUCAUACGACCUGGUGGAGUUGCACAAGAUCUUCCUCUUGGCUUAUGUCGAGAUAUUGAUUCCUCCACACAACAAUUUGCUUCUCGUAUCGAUGAAUUAGAAGAGAUGUCAACCAGCAACCGUAUCUGGAAACAACGAUUAGUGGAUAUUGGUACUGUCACUGCACAGCAAGCAAAGGAUUGGGGAUUCAGUGGUGUAAUGUUAAGAGGUCGUGCGACAUGAAGACAUUGAUAGCAAUAUGGGGGAAGUUCCCAUCAGGCUACAACGGUUCUGCCUGACCCGUAAUAAGCAUGCAUAUGUUGUCAGUCAAGAUUGAGUGUGAAGCCUUGGAUACGACAAGAUUGAGUGUGAAGCCUUGGAUACGACCUGGGCUAGGGUGAGCUGAGGGGGGACAGCGUAAGUAAGCGAAUGUGUGUAAGCCCCAGUCCAUUAUUUCUAUUAGAAGGCCUUACUGUUAUUCUGUUUUGCCGUGAACUGAUUCGCCUCUGGCCUCUAGGCACGUCGGAACCGCAUGAGUUCACCGGGGUGGAGCACGGUCCGCCAAAAUCGGCAUAGGUUAGGUGCUAUUGAUGGAACAUGGUAAGCCCAUCUUUCUCCAUAUGGAAGUGAAGCUGGCACAUAGAAAAGUGGGUAUAGGAUGUCUCAAAAAGCAAAGGCCGAGCAGUAGGUAACGUUACCUGCACCGAAAAGAUAGCUGACUGGGCUUUCUCCUGGAUCCAAUUUGCCCAAGAACUACCUUGGUGGUAAGGAAGGCAAUCUCCGCGAGCGUCCCGCACCCUCAGAGAAAGCCAAAUCAACAAGUAUGACGCUCGGUGUCUUACUCUAUUGGUAAUUGUUCCUUGCUGUUGGUUUCGGCCAGUGCUUGUUUGCGCGCUUAACACCAAACCCAAUCCAAAUACAGGAAAGAUGCUCUUCUCCUCUCGUGGGGCAUCAACGAAUGAUUCGAGCCGUAUGAAGGGAAACUCCCACGUACAGUUUGUUUUGGGGGGUUUGUUGCCCGACUGCCCACGGACUUGGCCCGGGCCUAAGUGAAAGUUCAGUAGUGGGCCUACCAAUCCAAACCUGGGGUAUGCUGGGAUUCGAGAAAAGCAGCACCUUACGAUGUUCAUGACCAAUCGGAUCCUGACGUACCAGUAGGUACCAGAGGAGAUCGCUAUGAUCGUUACUGUAUCCGUAUCGAAGAGAUGCGACAAAGUGUUCGGAUCAUUGUUCAAUGUCCUAAUCAAAUGCCUAGUGGCAUGAUCAAAGCCGAUGAUUAUAAGCUAUGUCCUCCGGCACGAUUCAGAAUGAAACUAUCCAUGGAAUCGUGCGCCGUGUGAAACAUAGAUCAUCGCCCGUUCUUAACUUAGACUCAGGUUAAGCUCCAUCUCGGAACCUUAGUAGGGUUAGGAGUAAAGCAUCCCGAGGUUGACGCAUCUAAUUUGGCGUAGAGAAGCAUUGGGAACCAAAAUGUCCUUAUUAAGAGCAGUUUCCCGGCCCUCGCCCCGACAUAGCGCUUCUGGUUCGUUCUUCGGAAGAAGCUUAUUAUCCCUUAUUCAUUGAUCUGGGGGAAAGGGAACUAUAUACGAGUUGGGAAGCUAGAUAUUAAGUAAGUGGCUUGAUGAGGAGAACUAAGCUGACACUGAGGAGUUGGCUGCUGGCACAACAGGGUGGUGCCUUACCUUACCGCACCGCGGGCGCACGCAAGGUAGUGUUCGUGGUGGUGCUUCAGGAUUCCAAUGUACUGCGUCCAAGAUCAGAACAAGCUUGCCGGCGGACCACUGCCGUCCCAUUCUUUAGUGAGCUAUAGCGCAGCCAUCUUAUCCACUGAACUAGCGUCAAGCUAUCGCUUCGGGUCGAAGCACUAAAAGAAAAGGACCGGGAAACGCGGCGGCAUAGGAACCACGGGAAUCCCAGGAGAUAUAAAGACUAAGUCAGGGAAUCGGGAUCCUCGUAGUAGGCGGAACCAUAAUCUCGCCGAGAGAGGGCAGUCUUUAGAAGCACAGAGGUUUGGAAACCAAGAGAACGCUUCGCUCUUUGCUUCUUCCCGGUAUAGGAGUAGCACCAAAAUAGGGAUUAGCUUAAUUUACCCGAAAGCACUAACACCUUCCUCUCAGUCAAGUAGGCCACUUUUGAUGCAGUCCGAAAUAACCGUUACCAUAUAUUAAUCUCUUCAAUGCUGUCAUUUCGCUUCAACCAAUGUUUCACCUCCCAAAAAGCGUGUCGUUGGCUUGACGAGCGCAGAUUAGGAAGCGGGAGCAAGAAUCCAAGAAUCUAUAUCUCUUGUGCUUAUACUUGAAGUUAAGGGGAAAAGAGAAGCGCUUUCGCUACUGAGAAAGCGAACGGUCGGACUUCAGCUAACUUAUAGAGCUGCCGAAGCCUAUGUGCUAUAAUGCUGAACCAAGGACGCUCUGCCUUAUCCAUAGAAGCAGUUCUUAACAAAAGGGAUCCUUUCCAGGCAAUGACUAAAUCUAUAGAUAGAAAGCCCCAUGAUGGGAAACUAUCACGUUAGGUUUGGAGAGAGAUGGGACCUGUGUGAGUUUAGGGUUUAGUGGGCAAGCAAGCUUUUUCGAUUCUUUCUAUAGCCUGCUAAAUAACUACAGGAUCAUCGGUCUACUCUACCUCAAUUCACCAUUUCGAACCUUAUACUGAAGGGUUUUCCGUACCAGCUCCUUCUACCUAUACAGCAGUUGAAGCACCUAAAGGAGAAUUUGGUGUCUAUCUUGUUAGUAAUGGAAGCAAUCGUCCCUACCGUUGUAAAAUAAGAGCACCUGGUUCUGCCCAUUCACAAGGACUCGAUUCUAUGUCCAAACAUCACAUGCCAGCAGAUGUAGUCACCAUCAUAGGUACUCAAGAUAUUGUGUCUGGAGAGGUAGAUAGAUAGGACUAGGUCUUGCUCGAUCAGGACCCUAGCUUGAUUGCGAGCCAAAAUACCCUUUCAAGAAUAACUAAGUUGAACAUCUAUAGGCUCCUUAUUUCGGACGUUGCGUUCGGCGAUCCCAAUUAAUAAGUAAGUCAAGCUCCUUUGUGAACUCAUCCAAUCUUUCUCAAAUGCAAAUGUAUAAUAACCCAAUAUUCUAUCUAUUUUCCGCUUUCAUAGCGACUCUUAUCUUAUUUAGUAAGGCUUUCAUAGCGACUCUUAUCUUAUUAAGUAAGUAGGAUUCUUUCUCUGGGUAGAAUAGUAUUCCCCCGACGAACCCUCUUUCCCCCGUCCCUCACCACGAAGUGAUUCAGCCUCUAGUGAAUGACGUUCUGGUGGCGGUGAUUCAUAAGAAUUGGAAGGGUCUUUCUUUCUUUAGGUUCUUAGUAAGGGCUCCUCGCCUGACCAAAUUCUUGCUGUUACCAAUCGGGGAGUGGGAUUCCAAUUACCCCGGAGUAAAGACUCCCAGAUGCCUUGAGUUCUUGGACUCAGUUGAUCAGGAAGGAAGAAGGAAUUCCUUAUACACGGAGUUCUAAGAAGGGAAAGGAAAUAGCGUUGUUUGAUAAGGGGAACAGCCUGACAAAGAAUAAUAAUGAAAGUUCCCUGGACUCAAUGACUCUAAGCCUUAACUCAUUUGAAUUUCUCUGACAUUCCACGUUUCCGAAACGGAUCUUUUUCAAUAUUUCACAUUUUCCAUGAUUAUCUCUAUUUUAGGUAUUUGGGGAAUCCUCCUUAAUAGACGAAAUAUUCCUAUUAUGUCAAUGCCAAUUGAAUCAAUGUUAUUAGCUGUAAAUUCGAACUUCUUGGUAUUUUCUGUUUCUUUGGAUGAUAUGAUGGGUCAAUCAUUUGCUUCAUUAGUUCCAACAGUGGCAGCUGCGGAAUCCGCUAUUGGAUCAGCCAUUUUCGUUAUGACUUUUCGAGUCCGAGGUACUAUUGCUGUCGAAUCUAUAAAUUGCAUGCAAGGUUAAACAUUACUACAUCUAAGUGAUCCAAAUACUCUACUUUCGUUCUCUUCUUUCUUUUGAUUAUUGGACUUGGCCGCCGGGUGUCUUACACUACUUCCCGUUCCAUUGCAGAAAGAUGGAUACAUAUAACCCCUGUGCCCAAUGAGAUUUCGUUCAAAGGAUAUGCAGGAUAUCAAUAUGCUAUUUGCUGCUAUUCCAUCUAUUUAUGCAUCAAGUUCGAAGAAUAUCUCAAUAAAUAAUGAAGAAAUAAUAGUCGCUUUAUGUUUUAUAGGCUUUCUCAUAUUCAGUCGGAAUAGUUUAGGUGAUACUUUCAAAGACACUCUCGACGGGAGAAUGGAGUCUAUUCAGGAAGAAUUGCAGCAAUUCUACAAUCAUAACGAAGUCAUUCCGGGGGAAUCCAAUGCACUACAACGAUUACUUAGGAUCAGCUUGUACAUUUGCGGCACCGUAGUAGAAUCAUUACCAACGUUACGCUGUGCGCCUAAGUGCGAAAAAACAGUGAAAGCCUUGUUAUGCCGAAACCUAAAUGUUAAGUCAGCUACACUUCUAAAUGCCACCUCCUCACGUCGCAUCCGUCUUCAGGAUGAUAUAGUAACAGGUUUGAAUUUCUCCGUAAGUGAAAGAUUUGUCCCCGCUUCCACCGCUUCCAUCAUAGAACUUAUUCGAGAGGGCUUGCUAGUCUUAAGAAAGAUCAAGGUUGGGUAGGGUCUUCUAUUCCUUAAGCAUAAGGAAGAGGAUCAAAACAUAAUUAAUAUCUGUUCAUGCUAACAGAAGAGCGGAUCCAAUACACAUCGAGGAAAAUCUUCUUAUUCAUGUGCUCAUGCUAACAGAAGAGCAGAUCAUAUACACACAUCAGACUUAUUCUAAGGAAAUGGUAGCAAGUGUACUUGAUUCAUUUUGAGCCCCACGAGUGAGUUGCCGCUCCCUAGGAGGCUUAAUCAUAUGCUACCACAAGAUCUCGUUUUAGCCUGAAGCCACAAACAUUGGAUAAUGGUCCCCCUUCGUUGAGCUCAGGAAAGAAAGUCCGGAAGUCAUAUAGGCCAGGAUCAUCAUAGACUUUUGGAUACCAAUCGUCUGAGAAAAGAGAGUCCAGUCCCUUCAUCCAAAUAAGACAUGGAUUGUUAUAUCACUUCAGAUCGCUAUGUUCAUGAUUAGUAUAAUUUGUAUGAGUUUCUUUUUGAUACCUUCCAUUUGUAUGAGUUUCUUUUUGAUACCUUCCAUUUGUAUGAGUUUCUUUUUGAUACCUUCCAUUGAAGAAAGAGCCUUAUCUCACCUUCCAUUGAAGAAAGAGCCUUAUCUCACCUUCUAUUGAAGAAAGAGCCUUCUCUCACUCCUUAUUUUCUCUAUCAUAUCAGGGUUCCAAUUCAUUAUCCUUUGAAAGAUCAGGAAUAUAGAACUACUACAAAUCUCAUUUGAUUGAGUUGGAAUCUUUCUUUACCGUGUCUAGUUCUUUGUCAGCACCUUAUUGACCGUAUAUUUAUUUGUCCAAAGAAAAGGGCAUAAUUUCCGCCUAGUCCAAUCACGGCAGAAAGCAAGUAGCUAACAGAGACAGACCGACAGGAGUCAGACACCAACCAAGACCAGACGAUAGAUAACAUAUCCCUUAUGAACGGCGUGAAACCAGUGUGAAAUAAACAUAAUGAUUAUAGAGUCAAGGCAUUCUUAUUGGACCAGGUGCCCGUGCCUUCGUCCUAGAAUCGAUGAACUUAGCGACUACUAUAGGAAGGAAUCCACCUACUAAUGGAAGAAAUCAAACUAGCAGUCCACGCCCUACUUGUUCACUUCAAACUAAUACUCCAGAUCCGGAGCCUUACUUGCGAACCUACCUAUUCUUGGUUUCAAACUACAAAUUGUACUUCUCAUACUGCCGCUACUGACUUAAAGUCUCUUAUUUGCUUCUUUGACUCUAAGUUGACUUACCGCUAUUCUUCUUGACUCCCCGCGAGCUCCGCUGUACUGCCCUGUCUCUUAGCCUUCGACUCGCUUCUUUCUUUCCCCGAAUACAAACUGGGCCUGUUAACCACAUCUGGGUCUGAUUCCUCUACUAAUAGGAGCUUAACUAUUAAUACAAAAUACAAAUACUAACAAUAAGGAUGGGACUACUAAUAAAAGGAAUUGAACAAUCCAAACCAUCAGCAAGGAUACCUGGCAUAGCUCUAAGACAUUUUAGUCAGAAUAAGAAGCAAGGGAAGAAUAAGAUGUCGAAGUGAAGAUACGCGUAAGGAAUGAAAGACAGUUGUUUGAUUCCCCGGUUCCGGUCUCAGAGGUGCUAGUGAAAGCCAGAGUUUCCGAGUCAAAGUUAUGAGUGUGUUUCUCCCAGUUGCAUUCUUGUUGAUAGUAGUUCAAAACCGAUACUAACUACUCUAAGUCUUCGCUGACGUCUUAUUCCUGCCCUUCGAUAAGUGGGUUCAUUCUCUUAACCAACAUUCUUUAUUACAUUAGUGGAUGCGCUAAAAUUCAGUAUUGGGGCCCGUACUUAUACUUAUGAGUUUGACUCACUUAGAAAGCAAGUAAGGAUAUCGGGCUAAGAGUAUACAUCGGAUAGGCCACUGGGAAAAACCCCACGCCUUAGGCCUGCCGCUACUGCAAUUAAGUCAACAAAUACUAGAUCCGAAUCUUGAUUCACUUUAGCCUAACCUGUCUAUCAGACCUUGUAGUUGCCCCUUACACUCUUGGAUGCCUAUAGCUCUAAUACAAUACGGGCGGGAUAUGAUGGACUCCUACUAAACACCCCAUAGGGAAUCCAACGACUACUAGAAAGGAUGUCACUGCUACUAGAAGGAAUUGCACUGGGAAUAUGGAAUUUCAACAAGUAACACAAGCCCUUACCUUCAAUACCCUCUCGCUCCUGCCUUUCUGAAUUGAGUGGAAGUUUUCAAGUCGGAGACAAGCAACUAGGCAAAUAGACCAGAGUCGUAAAGAUAAAGACAUAGCAUCCUUUUUCUCUUUUGAAUCUGAUUAAGUAUCUGAUCCUCGCACUGAUCCUGGUCUUGAACCGGAUUCUUAUCCGCCAAUCCUAUCCUAUUCUGAACCAACAACAAAAGAAUCAAACCCGAAAGUGUCUGCUCCGGACUCUCCACUUGAAGAAUGGAUUGGAGCGGGAAAGUACCUAAAGUGACUCAACUCAAGCUCGCACCGCCCUCACUCACUCCACUAAAGAGCUACUGCGGGACAAUCGGUUGACGUGCACUCACACUAAAUUCUUUUCUUUCGCUGGUAAACUAACUCUCUUAGCGUAGCGCCCGACCUCGCAUCAAAAGCCAAAUAGACUCCCCUCCCCGUCGCACAGUGAGUCUUGCGUGCCCGAACAGGACUUGAAGGGAAUAACCGGCAACAGGAUACAACACUGGAAACUUUUGAUACCUAACUUGAUAUUGGAUACCAUGGAUACCAAACUUUAUACCUAACAACUUCAUAUCUUAGAACAGGAACAGGAACUUGAAUGGAGUCGCCAACACCAAGAUACAACACUCUCACUGCAUUAGUUGAAGCAGAAGGAAUAGAUUCUUCUCUUCCCAUGAACCCAUCUGUAUUUCCCGCCCUUAAGCUGUAUGUGGUCCAAGCACAACACUUUCUUUAACCUGAACCGCCAACAACACUUGUUUCUGGCGCCGAGGCUGUAAAGAAUUAGACUUAUGAUCCGGCAUGGCAUCUGAUCUCUCUCUGGUGGGCUUAGCCCUUGCUGUGUACUUGAAAUCUAUAACCUGCUUUUGCUCCGCCUAUGACAGCUUCUUUUCCUGACUUAACUCGCACAGAAAUAGAUUCCAAGACAGAUACAGAUGCUGGUUCCCUUGAAAGCGAAGGAACAAGUGACUUGUUACGCGUUAGCGAGCGGAGUGGACUCUGACUUUUCUUCUAUACAAUAUCCCCCCCGUAGUACUUUUCUUCUAUAUACGUAGCUUCUUUCUCGCUUACUUGAUACAACACUCGCAGGUUUGAGUGCUCCAGCAAACUCAACAAGUUUCAAAGAAAAGUAGUUCGCCAACGGACAAGGUUACUAACGCGCCCCGAAAGUCAACUAGAUAUGGGCACCCCUGAAAUUAGGCUACCGCCCCAAUAAGCAAACUCUCUCACGCAUCUCAAUAGAAGAUAGGAAUGGAAUAUCUCGAGCAACUAACAGGAACUAAACUCAAGCUAGAGGCUUAGGAACCGCUCAAGCAAGCGCAUCUUUAACUUCAAGGAGAGUUCGGAAGGAAGUCAAACAAAACUUGAUGAGCUGGUAUAAAUGACAUUCUUCAAGCUAACAAACAAGUGGUUGAGUUAAGUUACUUCUUUCUAUAACUGGCUUUCAGUACCCGAACACAGGACUCAUACAAUGAGGCGCAUCUACUUCUCCGUAGUAAACAAAUACUUCCUCUCCUCUUUCAUUCCAGUGGAUUUCUUUCCUCUCCUAUUUAGCUUAGCUUUAGGGUUCAGCUAACUAUCCCCCUGACUUGAAUGUCAUCCUAAAUCGAAUCCUAUAAUAAGAUAAUAUAGAAUAGAAUAGGGGCCAAGUAACUACUAGACCAGUAAAGGAACAGGAACAGGGCUCCAAUCUACCUAUGUAAACUAACUACUACUGAGUGCAAUUCUGUAACUCCUACUUGCCCACCUCUGUUGGAGAGUAAAAACACUAUACCCGGUACCCGAAACAAGACUUGAACACUCUACUUCCCUUGAAGACCCGAAAAAGCUAUUCGAAUACUUUUCCCCGAAGCACUAAGAAGAAGAUUUUUGUGUAUUAGGAACAGGUCUAAAGCGCAAGGAAUCAUCUCUUAGUGUUAGGAGCAGGUCUAAGCGCAAGGAUUAGUAUUAGGAGCAGGUCACUCUUAUAAAUAAAUCAAUAUGCAUUCUAAGAGCCAUUAGAUUACCUCCAAUUUAGGGAUUUUGCUAGAAAAGUGGUUUCCCGAGAGUUCAUUACUGUUCUUGCUUUUGUUGCAGUUGCGUCUGCUGCUGUUGCUUGGUGACCGGUAAUAACUACCUAUUAAUAUACUUAAUACAAGGGUCAAACUCACUGACGCCCGAAGAAAGGAUAGGUGAAACGGAGCUAAUGGGCAAAUCCUCAUUUCAACAUCGACCCGACCUCUAUUACAAGGGGAAAGAAAGUACUAUAAGGGCCCGACCGACAUUGGCUUUACUUACGGAAGUUGUAAACUAGAGAAUCCACAGUUGAAAGAAGAAGCCUAAACCUCAAAAGAAGGGCCAACAGCCCAAACUAGUAGAAAUUCCCCUGAAAGUUGUAUUGGAUAGAGGCAAGCACCAAAGCGAAAAGUAGUGCUCUUAAUUCUGAAAUGCAAUUCUGAACUUCAAUACCAUUGCCAGUUCCAGUUCUCAAGUCAGUAGCUAUGUCUAGUAGAUCUCCCCGGCGGAAAGGGAAAGUCCGCGUUAGCGCCCCGACCCUGAAAAGAAUCAUAGGUUUCACAAGUGACUCACUUAUUGAAUUCAAGGAAGCGGGAAAGAAAUAAGAAAAAGAAGAGAAUUGAGGCGCGCUCCAAAGCUCACUUAUGCCGAAAGCUGGAAUUUGCACAUGACUUAACUACUAACACACAAAGGGAAUAAGAAGGCGGAUUUGAGAGUCAAAAAGAAUAUCCGCAUCCUGGAAAGUCAGCAGCAAGAAAAGUGGUUUAGUUCGGGGAAGAAGAAUAAUAGGAUAGUAGAGUUGGAUGCGAAAGUGGAGUUAUUGUUGAAGAAUGAUUUGUUGCUUCAGCGGCUAAGGUUCUUGUUUACUAUGUGUCAGCUGCAAGUGCAAAGGAAAGAAAGGGUAUUGCCCCCCGACUAGAAAUCCGGAGUGAUAAAGUAAGCUACAAGCGCUAAGUCAACCAGAGAUAGAGAAGCAGCUGGUCCAGGCCCAGACUCAGUGGUGGCGGCGUCAAAGAAAGUAGUGGCAUUCAAUAUAGUCUCUCGAGCACCCAGUAUAGCAUGUAGUAAAUACCGACCAUCCGUACAACGUCUUGUUGCUUCGAGUAAACCUGCACAGGAAUCCGAUCCUAUAGAUAUAGAUCCUCCGCUUCCGCUUCUACACUUGAUAGAGAUGAAAUGAAUGGUUUACUUCAUACUGGCCUAUCGUUCCAGUUAAGUAUGGAGCGGGUUAGGGUGAGAGAGAUUCAUUCUGAGUUUCUUUUGGGUCGGGUAAAGUGCAAGUGGAAAUAGAAAGUAAGUCAACAGCAAUCCGAUCUUCUGCUCCUACUCAGGAUACUGCUUUAACACCUGAUUGAGAGUCUACACAUCCAGGGAAACUAACUCCUUUGAUUUUCGAAGCCCCCCAAACAAGACUUUCAUUGCUUAGUAUUAAACUAGAACUUGAACUGGAGCUAGUAAUUCUACUGCUUCUGGUCUAUAUCCCCGAAUCUUGAUUCUGUUUCUCCCGCUCCUGAAUCCCUAACUAACUCAUCAACUCCUAACUCUAUACUUGAAGAAUCGCCAACACACCUGACCCUACUUUCCACUCCACCUGCUGACUUUUGACUAUAUACAGUUCCUUUCUACCGCUUCCGAUCUUCUUCUGUCUACAAAAAGCGGAGUGAGGGCAGCGACUGUAAAGCUCUUGCUUGUUCUUGCGAAAGAAACGGCUUGUUCCUCCCAACAAACUUAGCCGAGACGCGUAUGAAAGGCCCCUUUUGAUUCUAACUCUCUAACGCCUAAGCUUCCUCACUCCUUUCUGUUUAUAUGACUUUCUUUAUAUCUUCUAUAUAAGUUUUCUAUUGGAUAAGUUUGAUAUUGGCAUUGCUGACUCUAUACUUAUAAGUUAUAUCAUAUCAUAUUGGCAGCCGGACCCUUAACAAGAGUACUUUUGACUUUCUACCCUUGCUUGCUUCCUUGCAAAGUGAGAUAUUCUUUUCGACCUAAACUUGAAGUUAAGUUAGUGAAAUUCCAUUCUUAACGCUUAACUGGCGCUGCUUCCUCUACUGCUAAUGAUGCUACCUCAGAUCCUUAUCUAGUUUAUGAUCGAGUCGACUUAACUCGAAAAGAAAGAGAUUCCGCUCAAGCAAACGAGCACCCAAUAUACCCUUCACUCGCCAAGCAAUAACCUCUAUCGUCUACAACACCACCCCAUGCAGGUUCCUUUGAAACUGCUUCCUUCACUUGCGCCAACACACACCUCGGCUUCCUCACCAAACUGUAAACUAUCAAUUCAGAACUUGGAAAGCCAUAUACAACAGUAUUGAGAUGGGGAGCAGGGUCUCUAUUCUUUACUGGGCUCGGUAAGAGAUAUAAUGGAAAUGAUGACUUAUGAGUUUAGGUCGGGGUCGGGGAAGAAGAAAGGGAAUCAAGAUAAGAACUAAUAGAAUAGAUACGAUACAGAACAAGAGAAUGCAUGAUACCCAGAAGGACUUAAAGAGAAUGCAUGAUACCCAGUCGUGUGCUGUUGCUAAGUAUACGCUUGGCGAGUUUCAUACCGAUCCUGUGCCCUUAAGUUAAUGGUCAGAGUGGAAUCCCUAGUUAUAUAUCUGGUGCUCCCGCCUUUAAGAAGAGAGUUGACUUCACUACUUACAGCAAAGCGCAUUCAAGCAGGAAUUAUACAAUAAGCGUACCCCUGAAGAAGAUGGAUAUUAGAGUUAUGAGCAGACAAGCAACUAAAGCAAGCAAGUCCAUUCUUCAGGAGCCCUGUUGCCCAGGAGUGGUGAGUAACUUCCAACUUUCAAAACAGCUAAUGAAUAUAGUAAAGGAGAAGAAUACAUCUACAGCAGAAGAGCAAGCAACAUAUGGAUUGAAGUAACAGUGGAGGGUAGGGUUGACAGCCAGGAAAGUCUACUUUUCAUAAUAGGAUGGAGCUAGAGAUAGGGCUGAUAGAAACAAGUACAUAGGAGCAAGAGCUGGAUUAGGUAUAGCAGUUAUUGACUUUCCCGAGUGGAGUUCAAAGAGCCUGAGGUGACUAUAUGCAUUCUUAUAAAUGAGGAGUCAAAGUGGAAAACAACUUAUAUAUCUGCCUUGUGGUUGAUGCCACUUUGAAUUGAUGAUGCAGAUUCUAACCUUGGCCAGGAGUGUUGAGCUAGGUUGAUACCCAAAAGAAUGGAAAGUAAUCUGAUCUCUAUCGAAUUUGGAACUUCCCCAUUUGUUAUUAACUCCUUACAGGGCAAGGAGGGAGUUACGAGUCCUAUUUCCGAGCCAAGGAGGGAGUGACGAGCCCAAUAAAUAGGGCCAAGCGUAUACUAAGCGCGGCAGUCGUAUUCCGUUUUCUACUUGAAUAAGUCGUUUUCUACUUUCCGGUGUGCGAGGACAGGACUUGUUCAUACCCCAGCUGGAUUAGAAUAAGAGAAUAGAUCGUAUAAGAAGGAGACUCUCUUUCCUACUUGUUUUAGUUGUCUUACUUUCCUACUUGAGAGCACUCGCACUAGGUUUGGUUUGCAGCCUAUGAGCCUACCCUGCCUCACUGCCUUUAUAUACUAGCUAUGAAAUCGACACUGCCUAUUUGAGUUCUUUAGUUCGAUUGUUGGGCCUACUCUCUUUGGUUUCAUUCCCUAUUCUGAGUUAAAGCAUGAAAAGCACUAGUCUAAGUUUUGAAGCGGGGAAGAUAAUACUCACUUUUGAACUAAGUCAUGUGCCUAGUCACCUUCCCCAGGUAAUACUGAAAUCAAGUACUCAAUUGAGGAAUAAGAUAAAGGAAUAUAGUCCUCGAGGGGUUACGACUAGCUCCUGUCUAUUAGCCGGAAACUAGCAACUCCAGCCUUAUACCAAUGACUUAUAUUCUGAUACUGAUUCCUUCAAUACCCAUGUGCGAGGUGAACUCUUCCACUCCCCUACCUUAUUCUGACUAUCCCGGCCCUUAAUUCUUCUAAUCCCUUCUCUGAUUCUGACUAUGCUGCCUUAAAGUAUGUAGUUCGGAUUUUAGGCUUCCUUUCCAGUGCUCUUCGGCUUAGCUUAUUUACUUGUAUUUGAUAAUACGAUCUAGUGCAUCCAGAAGUAGAAUCAAAUAAGUAAGUAAGAGAAAUGAACUCGAUAAUACAAGAAGUCAACUAACAAGUCAGAUUGAAGUAUACCGGUCUGGAACUAUAAGACCUAUAAGACGAAAACAACAAGAAUAAUUGCAACGGGAACAACGCUAGCAAUACCCUAACUUGAAACUGGGAAUGCAAAUAGUGCUUAUAAGACUUUAACACAAGAAAGGGAAUCGAACCAAUGCCUAGUAGACUGAAAUAGUGUCUGGGGGAAUGGACCUAUUAGAAACCAAACUGUCACUGGCGCUUAGAAGACCUUAUCCGAGUAUAAAGAAAUCCACCAGUGCUAGCGGGACUGCUACUAGUGCUUAUAAUACUCUUACUACAGCCUAGGAGCCUUACUAUCAAUAUUUGCAUUCUUUCACUACCAGCCAGCAGCCAGCAGCUGACGCUGACCUUGCUUUUCUUCUUUUCUUCCGAUCGGUAUCCUUACAGGCAUUAGCUUUUCUGUACCUCGGUGUCUUCCCGAACUUUUAGUAAGAAUUUGACAUGACAAAUAAGUAAUAUAACAUAGCUACGUACGAUCCUAGUAGCGCAUAUAGAAUAGAAGUCAUAACUAAAUAAGAGAACACAACUCAUACAGAAGAGAACCAAACCCAUGAAAACAAGGCUUAUGCUCUAAACUCACUCCUCACUGCUGAUCCAGAUCCGGACUUUUACACCACCUCUCUUUGCUUUUAUUACCUUAGCUCGAGCUAGAGUCUUCUCCCGCUUAUUCUUAUUAUACAACUCCGGUCUACUAGGCUUACCUUUGCUCUUACGCUCCUCUCUUUGAACUAGGCUUACCUUUGCUCUUACGCUCCUCUCUUUGAAUCUUAAACAGCUUGCCUGAAACCUGUCCCCCUAUUUGCAACGAUUCUAACUAUCUUUGCUUUCGUUCGAUCUUUUCUUUCUUCAAUGCCUUAUUUCAUUUACUUAUAUUAAUGUGUUUAAAACAUUCUCUUAUUACAGAAUGGAAUGUGUUUCAACAUUCUCUUAUAAGAAUCCAAUAAUUAAUGAACUGAGCUAUACCUUGAAUCUUGGCAUCCCGACCCCGAGACCAGUUGACCGUAUCUCAAUGAAUAUGGUAUGGUAUGGUACUGCUCUUAAUGAGCGAUGGCUGAUUCUCUUACUUCUCGAUGAUUCUAUUACAUAGUUGUACGUUUCUUUAUUCCUUGUUGGAACCAAUGAUUCUAUUAUUUAUACUUCGUUUUUUGGAACCAAUGAAAAUUCUCCUAUUACCAUUACAAUUAUUCUAUUACUUAGGUGUACGUUGCCUGUUUGCUUGUACGUUCGUUGCCUGUGCGUUCGUUGCCUGAGUAUAAGAGUCAAGGCUGUUAACCAAUGCACCAAUGAUGAGCAACCAAUGCACCAAGGGUAGGUAAGCCAAUGAGUAGGGCACCCUAGUAUGAUGGUAUGAUAUGGUAUGAUAGGGUAUGGUAUGAUCGAUCCAGUGGUACAUCCAUUAUAGUAAGAAGGAGCUGUAUAGUAAGAAGGAGCUGUCCGGUCCGUAUAAGACAACAACUAAGAAGUCAGAAUACCGGCGUAAGCGCGAAGCCUGAUAUUGAAAACAAGUCAAAAUGCCGGGUAGUAAUUGUUUGAAUGCUGGGAAGAGGAGUGAGUUUUAGGGUAAGCAGUGUCAGUCUACUAGUUCUGAUUUAGAGUCUGUUUGUCUGUGGAUCUAUUCUGAGAAGCACCAGUUGUAGGGUUAAACCGAAGGUAGUCAGAAUCGGAGUUAGGGAAGGGCCGGCUAAUAAGUUAGCAUAUGAUAUAUCCAUGAGAGGCACAGGCUCGGACAAGUUAAGCGGACUACCGCGUAACGCGAAGACAUCAGCAGCAAUAACAAAUACAAAAACCAUUAUGUGUUUUCCUUUCUUGCAGUUGUGGUUGAGUACUUGGUGGAAUGCCGGGUGGCUUUUCAAGUUUCAGAGAAAGUCCGGGCAGGCUCAAAGACAAUAGCUAGAGACUAAAACAGGAGAUAUGGGCGAAGGUGCUGUAAGAUAAAGAUCUGGUUCUAAGUAUUAAAGAAUCAAGGUAAGGGAACUUAGGAUUAAGGGCAUGUAAGUAAUGGGUUAUUAGGUGUGUGAUUACAAGUUAUAAUGAAACUGAAUAUGAACUAGGUCAGUAUAGGACUUAGGGUAGCAAGUAAUAGAAUGAAAGUCCUAAUAGAGGGGCGGAUCUAGGUAAGUAGAACAGACUUAUGGUAUUAGUGAGAAGAGGCUAGCACAUCUGAAGUUGUAGACUAAUCCAAUAGUAGUAAGCAUCAGAGUUUCACUCAUUAGUCAAGAAUGGGUGUUUGGGGUCUUAAAGCCAGAGUCGGAGUAGGCAAUGGAACGGCCCAAGAAUAGAAGUGGAACCCAGGAAUUAGCUCAUUAGAAUCAAGUAGGUAAGUAGCAUAAUAGCACUGAGGAGUCCAAGCCUUACAUUAUUCCGAGAGACCACGGAGUCAUUUGGAUCUUACGCUCCUGGCUUCAAGUCUUUAGUUCACCUCUCGAAGUCUUCCCUAACUUUCUUGCAUUCCGUAUUACUUGUUGAAAACUGUGACUACUCAUUUGAUUCUGAUGUAGUUGUAUCAGAUCCGGGAAUUGACUUUGAUACACUGGAUCGUAAUGUAGGUGCCCAAUAGGAAUCGUCAUAAGGAAAGCCAUAAUGAAACAGGUCAGUAUAAGGCCGAAAGGGGACAUACGGAAUGCGGCUACUAACUAUCGGAUCGAACACUGCCUAAUGACUUGAAAUACUACUUAAAACAGAAGGUACACGGAUCCUAUGCUCGAUUAUUAGUAUGGCUCUUCCUCGCUCCUAUCCAUGCUUUAAGCCUUGCUUUCAACUCCACACGGUUAGCAUGCCACCUCUUUAGGAUUUGUUAUCCAAACUCAUAAGUGACGUUAGAAUGCAUUUGUAACUAAUCUAUUUGAACUUGAAACUUAGAAUUCUACUAGCGCUUAUCAGAAUCAACCUACUGGUAACAGGACAACAACCCCUGAUGCGGGAUCAAACUCAAGAGUCAGGCUUCAAUCACCUAACUAGCAAGAAUCAAUCCCAGCAGCUCAAUUCCCUAUUUGAGUAUUUGAUUAUGGUAUGGGUGUUCAUCUUCCCUUUUGGUGAAUGAUAAAACGACUCUCAAUAUUGCAUUGAUAAAACAGAGAACUUCACUUCAUAUAUGCUGUAAGCCAGGGCAAACUCUCAUAGGCGGGGGACAUAGUCUAAGCCUAAGAGAUAGGGUAGUCAGAACCAAUGUCAAGGUCGUACGGCUUAGCAAAAGUCAAGACUGGCUUGGGUGCGAGGGUUCGAUUCUAUUAUUUUCCCAGUUCGAUCUUGUUUGUUCCUAUUCUAUCUUUGACUGAUCUUGUUUGUUCCUAUUCUAUCUUUGACUAAUGAAGUAAAAUCCUGUGUUUCGAUAAGGCUAUUGAUUGAAACCAUAGUAUAUAGCACACCCCUACCGGCCACAACACACCUUAGUACUAGUGUAAUACUGAAAAAGACAAUUCGAUUCUUGCUUUUGACUUGACAGCGCCAAUGAGAUUCUUAUAAGAUAAUAUAGUUUCUAGUUUCCGUGGUGCCAAUUCCACUCUUUAUGAGAUAGCUUACUCGGUACUCUCUUUGCCUUUUGAGCAGUUGCUUGUUAAUCCUAAGGAGUAUAGUAGCAAGUCCCGUAGGAGCAGGAUCAAAAGAAGCAAUUCCAGAAUCACCAGCUGCUGUAUACGGAUAAGAAUCCAAUCUCAAAUCAACAGCAUGCGGUUCAUAGAGUUUAGUUCGGUUGUUUGACUUUCAGAAGAAUCUCCUCUCUUUUUUCAUGCUGAGGUUAAGUGGAAAGGAACAGUAGCUAUGUCUAGUGGAUCUCGGUUAAGAAUCUUAGUUGUUAUCUAAAGCUGUCAAUCCAGUUCUUGUUUUAUCAACCUAUUCUCUUUGCGCCUAAGCUUUAUUUCGAGCUCACUUUCCUGACGACCCGGAUUUGGAAUCUACUUAAUACUGCUUUCAUAGCACACCUCAUGUCAUUUCUGAACCUUACAGCAGUUACUCACUAAUACACUUUGGCUUUGGCAAACUCCACUCCGGAAGAUACAACCGAAUUUCUUGUUCCCCGAACUCCCCUUGAAGAUUCCCCACUUGCUGCUUACCUGAUAACUCCUCUUUCUUAACCUGAACUACUUGUGCUUGCUUCACUUGCAACAUAAGGUCAUCUAUCUCUUGCAGAUGCGGACACUCGAACUCAUGAACUUGAAGAACCAACAACCCUAGCACCAACUUUGAUAGGGGAAAGCCAUAUGUAUGAGGAGUUUCAGAUCCUAAGUCACUAACCUGUUGUGUGAAGUCUAUUCUUAUACUAUCAUAUACUUAUACUUACUUGUCUUAUUCAUAUUACCCUAUUCAUAUACUAUCUUAUCUUAUACUUACUUAUAAUCUUAUCCGCUAGAUCAUACCUGCUUAUAAGACUUCUACUUACAAAUACUUAUUACUGACUUAGUAACUAAUACUUACUUAGUCGAAAGAGCUAUGUAUGGGUCCCUUGCCGGAGGGGGGAGAGUUUACAGUAUAGGUCAGUUAUUCAAGUGUAGUUACUUGCCUGCUAGUCUGCUUGGCCUAGAUCUAUUCGCCUUAGGCUCUCUUACGUUCAGAUAACUUACCAGCUCUCUAUUUACUUGCGUUCAGAUAACUUACCAGCUCUCUAUUGACUUGACUCUAAUAGCCAUAACUAUUAUAGCCUUACUGGCGGAGUUAGGUUCUCUGAUGAGUCUCCCCUUCUUCCGGUUGCAGCCGAAGUAUAUGCGUAGCCUUUGGUUAAUAUCCGUAUGCUAUAGCUAUCUUUGCUUACCAUUUUGACCGAUAUAAAAGGCGCUUCCUGAAUCUUGCCCUCCCUCAACUAGCUGUUUAGCAUCUUCAAGCUUGGGAAAGAGUGCCAGCGGUUUUGAUGUAUAUCGGCUAUGUGCUGCCUAUGUUGGCUUGGAGGUCCGAAGCACGUCUCUCUCUCUCUUCACUUUUUACUUAAUGGAUUUCCACCCUUUUUUUUAGUUCAAAUGCCUUUGCUUUGUUUUAUCCCUGUCUUUCUUUCGUUUCAAUAGAAGGAAUGAAUUAACGAGAACAAAAUCCAAAGGACUGUCCGGCAUAGUGAUGUAACCGGUCUGGAAUUCCAUUUUCUCAGGCUUUACCUACAUAAGGGUAAUCCUAUAACUAGAAUCGGCAUCGGUGGGCUUUCCAAAAAGUAGCAUUCGUAGUCGCAUAGUAGCAAUAGCAUUAGCAGGGCGCUCAAGGGUAGUAGAGGAAUGAGAUUCGCCAAUAGAAUACUCAGAUGUAGCCUUUCGGGUUGUAGGACACAAGGGGAUCCUGAAGAAAUUCCCUUUUUUCCAGUAGCUAGUCCAGUAGCUAGUUUAGGCAAGCGGUUCGAGUCAAGUGCCAGUUAAAGAACCCAUUGUUGGGCAAGAGUAAUAAAUAGGAAGUAAACGACUUGGUCUCUUCUUUAUUCCUCUGAAAACGGAUUGCCUAUUCAAGAAAGUGACUUUGACCAAAUAGAGUAUCCUUCCGUAUAUAGAGUAUCCUUCCGUAUAAAGAAGAAGGGCUAUCGCAAUAGUGAGUUGUUCUGUAAGGAAAGGAAUUAGUCUGAAGAUUGGACUUAUUAAGUAAGCGGGUUGUGAUAACUCUUUUGCUUGUCUGGUUUACUAGAUCGGUAAAGUGGGAUAUGAACGACCUCUUCUGCUUACUUGUAAGAUACUUCCGUUUUCAUAAUCAACUUGUGGGAAAUGAUCUACGAUUCAUCUUUAUGGUUUUUCAAGGGGAACAACAACUAGUCAUAAAAUAAAUAGCUCCAAGGGGAGUUGUUUACGUACCCUCUAUCUUAAGCCCUGCAGGGAUCGCCUGAUUUCAAUAUAGUUCUUCGACUUUACUUCAAGAGCUAGAAGAACUCAGAGCUGAGGUCAAUCUAAGGAGUGGUUUUGGAAAGCUUUACAAUCAUGUGCACAUCUUUCGUUUUGGCUCUGGAGGAUAAGAUGUUCGUUCAUAUGCUCCUUGCUGGUUCACCGAUCAUUGAUGGUUCUUGAACCGCUAAAGAAUGGUCCAUGCUAUAAUACCUGAAUACAAAUGACUACUGGAAAAAUGAGUUGAGAUCAUUAGGCCAAGCAGGCGGACAGGCCUCCUUUAGCCGGCACAACAUAAAGGUCGAAUCGGUUUUCUUUGUUAAAGAUGGGUUCAUUAUACUAUGUCAUUAGGGGGGCUAAAUCCUAUAGUGCAAAUUCCCUUACUUUAGCAACCAUGCUCAGAUGUUAAUUAAGGCUACAUUUGACUUCCUUUGUCGAACCCUCAUGCAUGCUACUUUUCUAUGAGACCAGAUACUAAAGGAAAGGAGGGCGAACGCCUUAAAAGAGAAGAAAAAUCCUCGUCAAGGAAGGCUAGCUAGGUGGAAAUUCUCCUCUGAUUCAUAAGAUCCUAAAUCUACUAUUCUUGAUUCAAAGGGGUAGAGUUUGAAAACCCUAUCUCUAAAGGGGCGCCUCCACAGGCAAUAAAAAGAAAGACCAACAUUGUUCUACUCGAUCUCUGGUGGGACUCUUUCAAAGAGCACACAUGAACUCUAUACUUUGACUCAUUGCUUUCGAUGUCUUCGUGUGUAGCGUCAGUGGAGUGUUUCGGGAGUUCUUGUUUCACUUAUAUAUUAUAUAUAUAGGAUCCGGGUAACAAAGGAGGGAGGAGAUGGGUCUCGAGUUGCAAGAUCGGGAGAAGAGGCAUCCAAAUCUAUUACUUCUUCAGCGCUAAGGUACGAUUCGAUUGAUUAUAUCCUUAUGAAGUAACACUGCACCAGCUCCUUGUCAUGGAGAAUGGGCUUGUCCCGCUUCUGCUCCUGCAGUUGAUCAUGAAACUAAACUAUAGUACCGGUGUUGUCGUGGGCUUCUCUGCUUCUCUGCUUGUAUAGUAGUUGCCAUCACUCGGUAGAUGUAUUCUUUUGCCCUGCUCUCCGAGAUCCGAGAUCUGUUAUUAUUAUCAGAUUGAAUUUACAAUCCCCUUUUUCUUAAGUGCCUUCGUCUGAGUUGCUAGUGGAAUGAUUUGCUUUUGUUGCAAGAGGAGAAGAGAUACUUACUUGACUCUCUAGUACAUCUAGACUACCCUAUAGUUCAAUUGGUGUGAGUUUCAUCAUUAGUAUUAUUCUUUUCAGAGUGGAGGACCAGUAAAGGAUGGGUCCAGAUAUACACUAAAAAUGCAUUAUUUGAAAUCAGUGGAUGGCUUUUCAUGUUUGACACUUAACUGCUCCUCCGCAUGAGAACAUGGAUGAGGCUUCUGUAACGGAUUCCACUCGCCCAGUCACUACAAAAAGUGUAAGGGAAAUAAUCUAUUCCUUAAUUGUUGGUGCCUAAGGACAUCCUCCACUGAAAUAGAAGAAGCACAUUCUCCACUUAGUCUUGCCCCCACCUCUACUUCUUUCGCCGACCUCACCUAUCCUUUCAGUGGAAGUUAUGAAUUCAAUGAAAUCUCUAGCUGGUAUAGUUGUUACCUAACCGCUUCAUAUCUUGAUUAUUGCAUUGACCUUAGCCAACUAAGAAAGACAGAUUAUACUCGUCAAUUAAUAAGAUCGGCUUGAGAUGAGACUCUGAUCCUGAUGCUGCAUUGUUAACCCUCGUUGACUCUGUCGGUGAAGAAUCCUUAUCUCUUGGUGGUUCAUAACUAAAACACUUUGGGUGCGAAGGAAGGUGGUCAGCUUAACUUCUUGGCAUGCUUUCUUCCUCUGCGAUAUGGCAUGCUUUCUUCCUCUGCGAUAUAAAGAAGAUAUUCUCCAAAAGUAGGCCAGUUCAGUUGCCAAAGGCUAAGUCAGUAAUAAAUGAGUGAUUCCUCAAGUUAAGUUCGGGAGCCAGAGGUAGAUUGGAGUUCCGUUUUCACCGGUAUUCAUGGCGUCAGCGUUAAUAUAAGUGCAAUUCCUUCAGAUGUUUCUUCACAGCACAGAUUGUUUCCCGGGCCUACCUCUGUUAAGGGGAAUGCGCUAGCAAUUAUUAUAAGGGCCUUCUAAUAUCUAGCGCUUCCAUUCUUUAGUGCACUACCGGUAAGUCCACUCAUAGACUCAAUGAAAAGAUUUGACUGCAAAAGUAUGUAAACGACCCCUGAAAGUAGUCGUCUCGAAUUGUUCACACUGUUUACAGCCCCAACAAGUAUGUAACAGAGCCAAUCCAUCCACCCGGUUCUCCAGUAUCUAUAGUAGAUGCAUUAUGAAUUAAUCUUUAUCCAGAGUUGUGGUAAAGUAGAUAUGUCUUCGGCGGUGAACUUGCCCUUACUUAUAGUCUGCGAGUUGAUAGUGGAAUGAUUUGUUGAAAGUAUAGUUCUUGUUCUAGGUUCUUUGUUGAAAGUAUAGUUCUUGCCCCAACUCGUCAACACGGGAAAGUCUUUCACUCCAGGUUCAUUCUUAUAGUAAGUAGAAGAUACAAGCAACAUAAUCCGGUCCAGGUCAAGUUACAGUAUAAAGUCAGUUAGCAAACGAUUCCUCAAGUUACGUUCAAUUAUCUAGGAAAGUUGGAUUUCAUUGUCUAGGAAACAACCAGUACUUUAUUCUCUAAGACUACUUACUAUAGUACUUAUCGCCUCCCUUAUCGCUCUGUCCGCCUCUCUUAUCGCUCUGUGAACCCCUAAGCUUGUAUAUAAACAAGGGCAAUCAAAUCAAAGGAUUAGAAGCAGUGAGAAAGUCAGCAUCAAGCGGGCUAGUUCCUGUUGUUGUCCACUCGAGAAGAAAAGAAUACUGUAUAGCUAACUGAGUGGGCACUAGAGAAUAAAGAGUAUGUAAGAGAAUUAGAGGGAUAAUCAGAGCGGAGGCAUAAGAUAAAGAUAGUACUUGCUUUGAUACUCAAGCAGGAGAAGAGAAAGAGAGUACGGGGUAUUACUUACCGCUACUCCUUAAAAUAGUGGAAUUUGGGGUACUUAGUUAUCCUCUCUGUAGGAAGCUGGUCUUCAAUUCUUACAUCUUCGGGGUCUAAUAUUUGCUUUUACUACCUUUAUAGUUGCCCGUACAAGGUCUGGCUAAUGCGGUGGAGAUAUACAUAGGUGAGGGCAAGGUAGACCUGAUCCUAGCCACCAUGGAUGACUUUCAAGUGGUACUGGGGAUAUACUUACUAAGGCAAGUAAAGGAUUCUAAACCACACAUGAAUUCGCUAUGCAUUAUAGAAUAGAAGACACCCGCAUGCUUCCUCUGGUACAAGGGACCAAUAAAAGACCAAGGUAAUGCUAUCCGCCAUACAGCUUAGAAAGGCUUUAAGAAGAAAUGCCUACAUUAGUACGUUUGGUUUACCUUCUUCGUUCUACCACUUCCGGGCCCAAUCUUAGUUAUGUCCCUUAGUUUGCUGGGCAUACCAUUCUAAUGCUCUCGAAAGAGACAGAUUGGCAUAUGUUGUUAUAUGCUUCACACAUGUACCUUUGACUCUGCUUUAUAGAUGUCUCUUUUGCUUAAAAGACCAGACCCGAUCCUUUCUCCUGUUCCAGAAACGAAUUUGUGUCUUUUGAUUAGCUGUCACAUUCGGUCAAAUGGCACAAAGUGUGAAAUUGGCCAGUGUGCGCAGUUUCCUUUUCUCUUUUGUAUAGAAGGUUCAAAGAAUAGUAAAUUGCAUACGGUUUGUAGACAGAAGUGCCCGAAGGAAGGUCCUCUAUUCGUAUUCUAUAUAAACUCUAAAUAGCAUAAGGGAAGAAAGAGCAAGUAAAGAAAGCCCGUAAGGGAGUCAGACAACUAAUAUUCUGGUUCUACCACUGCAGGGCCCAAUCCGCGGUUGCCUUUUUGCCAUUACUAAAGCCGUCCAAGGGAAAGGGAUCCCUUGCUUUUUGGGGGAUUUGGUCUGUGUCAAAAGAAAUAAAGGAUGUGCAGUUGCCCAUAUAGUAGCAAUGGGGUGUCGCGGAAGCCACGUCUGGGUCCAGUUGUGCCCCUCAAGCAGGAAAGGGGUUGCCAUUUCUUGCCCCUUGGCGAUGGACCUGGCUAAAUUGGAAGCAAGAGAUCGCGAAACAAUGCGUCGACUCCUUUUGAAACAGAUCCCAUCCAUUUUCCAUUCUUUCCUCCCUCCAUUUUCUCCUAGCGGAGCGGGCAUACCGUCAAAAAGUAAUAAAUUGUAAUCCCCAACGACAAAUGAACGGCCAUUUUGGGGGACUAGCCAGCUUCCCAUUAAAAAGAAAGAGGGAAAUUCAUUGCACAUACAUUAAGGGAGCCAUUGAAAGGUUACUAAAACACCAUAACUUUACUUUAGAACAGAAAUAGAAGUUACAUUGAGCAAUUAAGCAAGUCAAGUGGGCGAGCAGUUUUAGGUUACUUGUAGGGCGAAGGAAUCAGAUUUGUUGACUUGACUUUAUGGGCUUUAGAACAAGAUUUGUUGACUUGACUUUAUGGGCUUUGAAACAAGUAACUGCUAAUGUGUAGCGUUAGUGAGCUGAGUGUUACAUCUCUCUUUCUAUACAAGGGCUCGAACUCAGAACUCGCUUGACUAUUGAUUCCAAUUCAAGGACAAUCUCUGGCGCCACUCUACAGUACUCUCUCUGUCUCAAGGGAAAGAAGCUCGUUGUGAGUAUAUCAAAGGUAAUACUAAAUCAAUAAGAUCUUCUGCUUUAGCUUCUGCUUCAGCCCUCGAAAGAUCAGUAUUAGUGGACUCGGCCCAAGAAAGAAGUCUAGGUUUCACUGGUUUACUUCCAGCUGUGUUUAAGUCUGCAAGAGAGGGUUAUUGAAAUGAAUGGGUUGCACUCUCUUCUCAAGAGCAAGUAUUAGUGGCGGCUACUAAUUCACCUUGAAAGAUUCCAUUCCGUAUUUGUAGAAUGGAGUGGAGGCGCAGUUCCUUUUCUAGGAUCUAGUGCAGGAGAAUAAGCAAUGGAUGGAUUCCAUUCAAAUGAAACAAGUGCUUAGGCGUGUCAAGGAAGGGGCAACUCUAUAACUCAUCGCUAACGCUUUCAACUCUUCUAAUGCGAGGGGGGCGCUCAAUAUUCUAUUCAUAAAGCAGCGGGAACAAGUUUCGGAAUAGCGAUUCCAUUCUUUAAGUAAUAAGUCAAAGGGAAGCCGAGCAGUAGUUAGUUUGUGCCAGCAGGUAAUAGGUUCGUUUGUGUCCGUAGUACAGUCAGUAAUAAUGAGUGUUGUUACCCAAAAGAACUUCCGUAAGCUAAAGCCUUACCCGACCCAGAAGCUUGAACUUUCCCGAAUGCAUUUCAACAGCUUUUCGGUCAAUGGUGGAAGGCGAAGGAAGGCGGUAAGCAAGAAACGGUUGGUUUGAAUUUGCAUUUAGGGUAAGGGGGGUCUUGUAUAGAAUUGUUGGUAAUUAAGGAAUGAGAGGUGAAGGCCGACUACACGGUUUGAGACUCUAGCUCGUUGUCUUGGUCUUGUUCGAGUGCUUGAGAAGGAAGACCAUAAUCUCAGUUCCACAAGUAGAGUUAGAGUGUUGUCUAGGUUAUUGGCGCUUUACCUUGUAUAUGAGUUCGGAUCGGUUUACAGUGGUGUUGUUGGUUCAUAACUUGUAGUUGAUUGUCUGGUAAUAGCAACGUACUAACAAACAUACUAUGAGAGUCAAAAAAUCGUAGUAAUCGUUUUCUUGUUAUAUCGUUUUGUUGAUGAAUCGCAUCUAUUCCAUUCAUUUGUUCUCUCCUCAAACUACAGGGAGGAAGUUGCUUAGUUGAACAUAGUAACACUAAGGGACGCCACGGUCUUUCUUUGGAGUCUUCUAGCCAAGGUCCGGGUUUUCUCUUCGUUUCAUCGAUCGGUCGCCUUGCUCCGUUCCUUCGUUGCACCGGAAGUGGAUGGAGUUUUUCAUAUCUUUCACUUACUUGUAGUUCUGUUCUUUUCCAAAGUGAAAUGCAAUGGCCAGUUAACAGCUCUCUUGGUUCUUUCUUCGCUUGGAGCGAUCUAGAAUGAUAAGAUCCUAUUGCGGGGCUUCUUGUAAUCCAUCCUUUCUUUAGAUAGGGUAGGUACUCAUACUACAAGAUUGUUUUUUGGACGCUUCUGGUGCUUGAAAUCCCCUCUUUUCUCCUUUCUCCUUCUCUUUCCCUAUUCUCCAUGGCUUUGUUGGUUGCUUGGCCGUGUCGGGAUCCUUUCUUUCUUCUCUUAUUCUAUUUUGAGUUGGAUGGGCAAGGCUCUCUCUUUUUCUUUGAAGCCUGCAGUCUGGCGAUCAUGAAGAACAAAUCUUGAUGUAUUCCCCUAGAUAUUCCCAAUCUGGACUUAUUCUAUCCUAUAUUACUAAUCUUUAUUUAUUCUAUAUUCAUAUUAAUUCAUUUAUGGACAAAGGCUUUUCCUAUACUUGGAAAGUGUGUAUCAUCAAUUGAGCAGCCUCUACCGAUGGUUUGGUUGUUCCCUAUCUCGACCUUCGUUGGGUGCUAUAGCUGGUCAGGGACGUUGUUUGCAGCAUUUUCUGGUGCUAUCUCUCUCUGUGUGCAAAUCUACAUCCAUCCCGUAGGCUUCGUUGCCGCCAAUCUGUGCAUCAUUCUUUUCUGCUUCCAUCUCCCACAUCUUCCGCAGUGGUAGCAGCGACUUCUUCCUAACUGGUUUGUUACUUGGCUGUGCUAGUGGCAGCAAUGGCCUCAUCCUGGUCAAUAAGUGAAACAUGACUAGUUGGCAACUGGUUUUCAACGAUUGGAAUGUUUGCUUUUUCUCCUUUCAAGCUCUCUGUAACCUUUUACUCCAUUGCCUCUAAAACCAUGAAAGCUAUUGACUCGCCUGGACCUACCUCUGUAAACUGGCUACUAUUCUCUAUGUUGCUUCUCUCUUACGAAACGCUAUCUUUAAUAAUAACAGAUAUUUUGAUGCGAAGGAAGGUAGAAAAGAAAUGGUAUAAUAUAGGACUCUGGAAUAACGAGUGGAAUCAGUAGUAGUUACUUGUCUCCAAGCUCCCUUAAGCUAUACUUACGUAGUUACUUGGCGGAGAGACAGCUUUUAAGUCAGUAGCGAAAGCCUUAGUUAUGUGGUUAAGCAUGAGGUAGUUCGAGCCUUGUUACCGAUCAGUCCCACUUCUAUUAUGAGUAGUUGGAUUCCCACUUUGGAGCUUUAUUCUUACCCCUUCCCUUAGUCGGUGCAGAAAGGAAAGGAUUCAAGUGGCCACUCUGACUCUUACAGAUAGUAUGAAAUCCCCUGUUUUCCUAACCGGGCAUGAUAGUUUUCAGAAUUCAAGUAAGUAAUGGAAUUCCUUGUUAGUGGAGUAAGUCAUAUAGAAAUUCCGUAUUGGUAGCACUGGUUUCGUUCUGUUAGGUAGUGCUCAAUUACUGGUUGAUAGUUGAGUUUUGCUACUAGCAAGUUCAAUUCCAAGUGUGUGUGGGGCAUAGUAUAUAUUCUGCAUUUCCGUAUUGGAAGCAUUAUAGCAAAAGUCCUGUUAGCUGCGAUUUAAGCCUUAUCAGUAGUAGCUCCAUUCUAGUAUGCCCGAGCUCGGGCCCUUUUCUCAUAGAUUUCUGCUUUUUAUUGGUUGGUAGUUUUCUUCUAAGGCCUCUAUACACGCUAUAGGGUUCGGUGUCAGUAGGGCUCUUGAUUGACUCCAUCUUUCUACGUGUAACACAUGGAUUAGACUACAAAUACUAACGAACCUUCUACCGAACUAUACCUCUAACCUUCCCGAACUAUAACCACCAUUCUCAUUUCUCAUUGAAAACCACCUUGCUCGAUCCCGGCAUUAAAGAAAGAAUAGUACAAGCGAAGGGGCUAAGUCAACCCCAAGAAUUCCACUUCUUUAGCCUUGGGCCUGCUACUUCUAAGUUGGAUUCUGAGAUUCCUUAUGAACCAUCAGGUGUUCCCUUCUUUGUUUCCUAUCCAAUGUAUCUCCUCACUUUCGAAUUUCAAUCUGUAUUUCCAGUAAAGUAUAAGUACUCUUAACACUAAGUUGAAUUCUCACUUGAAAACUUGGUAUUGGCAGCUGAGCGCUACUACUAUAUACUAUAAGAAUGAGCUAUGUUUGGAGGUGCCUCAGAUCAACCCCAUAAGAUAUGUGGAAAGAAAACAACCCCACUAUUUGUAUCAAUAGAAAAACGACCUUACUAUUGACAGUACCAAUGUUAUUGUGAUUCUUGCUUUUGUUUGGCAGUUCCGAUGCUAUUCUCUUUCUAUUGGUGUUGGAUUUCCCCGUGGGUGUUUUCACAGCCUUAUCCGUAGAAACAUAUUCUAGUAUAAGAUAAUAGGUAAGUGAUGCUCAUAAGUAAGAAGUCAAUGCGGAAUACAGUUUGGAAGCAAGUAAGAUAGGACUGGUUUCGCAGAGAAAGAGGAAGAGGAAGUACUCUACACCAACAGAGCCUGCCGCUACUGGUAUGAAUUCUCCAUCUAUUGACGCCAAGCCCACUUCCAACGAUUUCUUGCAUCUUGCCCAGGGCACCUUAGGCUUUACUGCUUACUUUGACUCUUCCACUACGGACCUCGGAUCCACCCUUCCCGGACAACUCACUGCCGAAAAGAGUGUAGCGGCGGAUUGACUACUUUAAAGACAUAAUAGGCUAUGUGGUUGGUGAGACAGAUACCUAGGUUUGGGCAAGGCGCAGUACCUGACUACUUAAGUGCAAUUCUGUUUCCUUUGGUUUCAUCCUUGCCUGUAGUACUAGGUUAAAAGCAAGUAGUGCAAAGAUCCUACUCAGUAGAGAUAGAAUCGGCGUAAAGAGUCACAGUCUUGUAGGUGAAAUACAUAAUGUGAGGGAGGUUUUCAAGUCAGUAGUGGUAGCAUAGGGUGGUGUAGUAGCUUUCUUCGUUUAUGGCGUGUUUCAUUCGUAUUAGCUCUAUUUCCUAUUAGGUGUUUAAUUCAUUCUGAUUAGUCCACAACCUCAAAUUAGUAUUUAGUAACACUAUUCUUAGUAUCCAAUCCGAGGAGAGGGACAGUGACUAGUAGUAUCAAUCAGAAUCAUAAUGUUCCUCAGGGAUAAGGAAUUCAAGCUAGUAGCGGUGGACUUAACUAGGGGAGAGGCUGGUUCAUAUGCAGUUGUGAAAGGAGAAAAGUGAAUAGCUCGAGUCCUGUUAGCUGUAGUUAUCAUUCCGAUAGUAGUAAGUUCAAGUAUGAUAGUAAGGAGGUUCGCUAAGUCCUAUUUCUGCUAAGCAAAAGUGGAUUCUUGCCAGUACGGAUGCAUUUCUGGUUAUUAUCAGUUCCAUUCGUUAUUUACUAUUUCAAUGCCCUAUAGCUAUGCCCGGUAUACUCUAUUAUGUCUUUCAUUCCCUGGUAGUGGGGAGGUCGCCUAGAAGCACUAGCUCCAUUCUAAUAAGCAGUGAUUUCCGCCUUGGAACCGUUAGUUUCAGAAUAGAAGCAAGGUAAGUAAGGGCAGCGUGCUGGCUCAAAGGUCAGAGCGCUAGAAGGGUUUGAUAGCUAGGGGAUAAGGGCCUUAGAUAUGGUUGUUGACAUUACAAAUCAGAAUCAAAGGUAUAGUCAAUGAAUCAUAGGGUUGUUGGCGAGCACAAGUAAGGAAAACUGUCUGUUUGGGUGAGCUAAGCUCUAAGACUUCUAUUAGUCGGUGUCCUCUCUAGCAUAGGAAUCGGAAUAAGGAACACUGCAAUUGAACUCAAACAGAGACAUUAAACACAUAAAUACAGAAUUGAGCUCACCAGUAGCAUAAUCCAACUCCAAAGUCAGAAUGGAACUAAUAGGCAGUUUCUCUAAAUACAUAAGUGAGUACGUCACUCACAACUAGAGGUCUCCCACUCCCAGCCCAGUAUAUGAUUCUACAGCUUAUUGUUUGACUUGUCAUUCUUCCAAGCUAAAUGACCCAUGCCUUUCUUAGUAAAAGUAAAGGGAGAAUAACUAGAGAUUGUUCCUUAGUAAGUGGAAUGGAAAGUUCCUUAGUAAGUGGAAUGGAAAGCUUGCAAGGUCUAGACUGGUGAUCGAAAAAGAAAGAAUCCAUCUUGAUUAUUUGCCUUGGCCGGCCUGUUUCAAAGUACCUUCCAAAGUCAUAACCUGUUUCAAAGUACCUUCCAAAGUCAUAAAUAGAAAGAAGAAAUUCCAGAAAGACUGACUUAAUAGGCUAGGAAAACCCUACACUGUAUCGAUGGCACUGAGUCUUCGUCUUCAUCUCAAGCAAAAGAAAAUAAGCUAGAUCAGGAUCCACCCACGUAAACUAAGAGCAUUUCGGCAGAGGAUGCAAUACUGGCUUUAGCCUUACUACCUGAUGAAGUAGACAAUACAACUAGUACUGAAUGACAGAAAACAUACUCUGAGGCACUACUGGCAAAGUCAAUUGUGAAAAAACGGACUGGACUUUCAGACGUCAGCAGAGUGGAGCCUAUUUAUGGAUUUUCUUGACACACUAUCGGGAAUCGAGAAAAAGGCAAAGGGCGGCACGCACUUAGGAGCUUAUGUAAGUAAAGACUUGCUGUCGUUAGGGCAGUCUUUCCGGGUCAUUAUUCUUACUGAAUGAAAACCAUGACUAUAAUAUAAUGACAAUUUGUGAAUUUAGAGUACUACCGAGUUUGAUAGAAAGCUGUGCUAUGAUUAAGAGAAAGAUAUAGCCGUAAGCAAUUCACUUGAAAAGCGUUAAGAUAGGAGGCGAGCUACUCUCUACACAGGUUUGGAAUAUUACUAGCAAUCCAGUGGUACACAAACAAACUAACUAGAACCUUCUAUUACUUAUAGAAAACCUUAACGAACUAACUAGAACCUUCUAUUACUUAUAGAAAACCUUAUUUAUUCAUUUAUGAAACGGAAGAAGAGCUGCUACGGUGGGGGAACCUAACUAACCCAGUAAAUCCUAGGAGUCGGCACUUUUACUAAGAGCCCAGCAACUGAUCUAAAACAAAGGGGUCUAUUUACAAGGAUCUAAAACAAAGGGGUCUGUCUCUUGACAAGAAAGAAAGUAUGGAGAAAGUAUGAACUGGUUUCCGUGGGCGAACUCCUUCUACUAUGGGGGCCUACCCUACGACCCAUUUCAAUCGGGCCGCUGCGGCUCAACAAUUCACGCUCUUCGUAUCUGGGCUUUUCCACUACUCGGGACAGAGCUUUUCAGCAUUAGAGAAUCGAGACCGCUUACCGCCCUAUCUUUCACUUCGGGAGUUUCAUAUUAACAUAGCACUUCCAUCCAUACCUCUCACGAUCGGCGUUCAGUCUUUGUCUUAUGAAUUCGAUCUCUGCCUCUAAGGUCUAGGUAAAGAUCUGCACGUCCAUAAAUAAGGCAAUCGGUAACUGCGCUUCAAACCGAAUUAAGAAAGAGCGAGCGCAUCUGGUUACUAGAAAGAUCCUAUCCGACUCGGUCGAGCAAGACCCUAAGCAGGAUCGAGCUGAGGCUUCCACGACGGGUCCAGGUCUAUUACCUUAGUCAGUCUUUCAUUCAAUUCAGAGGUGCCGUGCCACAAGCCGCUCGAAUUCAGAGAAGAGUCUUAUUGGGCGACACAAAGAUCAGACAAAUUGCAUCCAUCGGGACAAGAUCGAAAAGAAUGGGACAUCGCUAUGGGAUUUGUUGGAAAACCCUAACCGCGACGACGUCUUCCCGUCUUUACCCUUGGUUAGCCCAAGGCGAGAUUGAAGACAAGUGUUUUUCUCGAUCUCGAGCAAGAAGCGGAACUCAAAGACAUUUCUGACGAUUAUGCCCAACAGCCCACUUGAGCAAUUUGCGAUUAUCCCAUUGAUUCAAUUGAAUAUAGGAAACUCAUCUUUCGAAAGCCACUUAAGUAGAAUUAGAAGUAUCUCCGUAGGUACUGUUUCAAUAGAUCACCUUUUUCAUUCAGUCAGUAGAAAUCUUGAUUAUGACAUCCCAAUUCCUUCCCGAGACCUCCCAAGGCGAAUCAGAUCCAAACGGGUGAGUUUGAGCUUAUCCAUGCGGCAUUCUUCGAAUAGGAAUCCAUUUGAUGAAAUAUCUUGCUUUGGUUUCCGAGAUCCUUUCGAUGACCUAUGUUGUGUUGAAGGGAUAUCUAAAAGAAAGAGAUUAUUCGAUCGAUUGCUUAAAGCCCGAGGUAGCAACGGAACCAGGGAAAGUCUACAGAAACCACGGUUAUAUUAGCAUUUUCUAUUUGUUAGUCAUCUCGGUUCAGUGAGUGCUUUCUUACUAUAUUCACUGGCUAGCUAGAGUCGCUUCACUGUAUAGCUUUGCUUGGGGCCUCUCUCUUAAAUAAAGGGGUGUUCCUGGUCAAAUGAUGGAUCAAGGGCUUGGGGCCUCUCUCUUUUCUACCAAUUUGGGGUAAGGCUAGAGCAGAAGCAUCAGAAGCAAGAAGCGCCCACAUAAGCUUAAAGGGCUUAGUAGACUACCACAAGGGCAGAAAUUAGCUAAUUCAUUCGGAUCGGGAAGAAGAUGGCUUCUUAUUGAAACUAAAACAUAGUCCAAAGCGAUUUCGCAGCUUAGUUGUGGGAGUCCUCCUAUAUCCUUCCUAAAGCUUCCGAAUGGGGAGAAUAUUGACGGCUGCACCAUUAUCCACCAAUACCUUUAUUAGAGGCAGAAGCUGGUAGUUUCACCUAUCCCUAGUAGAAAGCCGUGGAAAGAUUACCUUAUUUCUUCACCGGCUACCACUGACAGAAAGAACGGAACAGGAAGGACCCCAAUGACUACGGUUUGCCCGGAACCUACUGAGACCUGAUCAUGAGCGACUCUAGUUCUAAAAGCAUGUCUUGUAAACUAUAAGAAUGCUGAUCAAAUGCAUUUCCUUUUCUGAACCACACACCAAGAUCGAAAGAAAAGAAUGUAGUUCCUGGGCCUAUAAGACUGCCUGCUGAUUUGCUUGAUUUCUUCUCUUCUCAGUUGACGGUUUGAUAGGAUAUCGAUCGGUCUUUGAAUCUUGCUUUUAUCCACCCUUCUAGCUAGCCUAAUUGAAACGGGAGCAAAAAGGAAGGAAGGACGAUUUAUCCCCACGGUGCGGUAUACUGCUCCAUUGAUAAGAACUGCCUUCCUAUACGAAGAAAUCCAUCCUUAUUGGGUUUGGUUACAUACCUCCUGCAUGUACUUACUUCUGCAUUUCCCUAAAAACCUACUUCCUGGUGGCUACCAUCUCCCAUCUCGCUCUAGAAUAGAAAGGGAGGGCAGGGAAAUCUGGUACUAUCAAACAAAGGUCCCGUCCCACAGCGCCGACUACAACCUCACCAGAAUUCUCUCGUGCCAUUUGAUCCUUUCUGUGUGGGCAAACUACUAAUGUAUUGAUCAGGACGAAAACUCUACAAAUUACAUGGAAAAAGAAAACACAGGCCGCAGAGUCCUCUCAGUCCACGAGGGCGAUAAGCUUAGCACAGGAACUUAUGGUCUAAACUGACAGUGGAAUCGGGUCAACUGCCCUUUCUCGGUCGAAGCUUUAGAUCUCAGAGGUCCUUGUGAUCAAUCCAUUGGAAUUCUAUUGGUGUGUCGGUCGCCCACUCGGAAUGGUUACUGGACAAGAAUGACUAAAGGCCCUUUUCGCCCGGCCUGAUGAACUCUUCCUUUCAUGCUGGGCAUAGAGCUGCUAUGGCGGUGCACCUAUACAUCUUGAUGAACCUUACACAAUGGUGGAUCAUAUAUUAUAUAUAGGAAUAGGAUGGCUCACAUUACAUUAACAGCUCUUCCAUUCUUCCAGAGUGGUUUGAAUAAGUGGAAUCCCAUUUCUUCCAGAGUGGUUUGAAUAAGUGGAAUCAAAUACUAAAGGGUCCCCGGGAGAAGGCAUUUUAGGACAAACAUCUACACGUAACCAUGACCAACUUACUGUCAUGCUUACCGAAACUACUAGAAGUCGAACUCGCUCGCGGGUAGGGAGAAUUGGUUAACAUUCAUUCCCAGCUAACCAACUGAGUGACUAGUGGUGGGCAAGAGGGUUUACAGGGUUAGGUAGUUGAUUUAUGAAAUAGGAAUUCCUAGUUCACCAUUCGUUAGCUUUCGAAACUCCUGGGAUAUCGACGAGUCAUCGCCUUGAGUCUGCCCUUCCUAGUUAGGCAAUUGACUCUCGCCCUUACCAUAGGCACCGUUCGAUGAAAGGCACUAUCGACUACGUCUUUCUUGAGUACCGCACGAUGCCACUGUCCGAAAAGGGUAUCCGCCACCUCUGCUCAAAGGAUAUGAAUAACAUCAUUGUAGCUGGGCAACAUUGCGCUGUCCCUGGGCUGGUCAAUGGUUAAGGGUAGCUGAAUCCACUGUAGGCGAAGUGGUUACCCGAACCCACCUACGAACCUCGAAUAUACGCGAAACCGGUUUCGUAUCUAAGAGCUGGAUACCUUCUUAUUAAGAUUUUUUCUCGACUCUUUCGAACAUCGUUUUCUGGACUCAGACUCACUAGCGAGUGCAUUUCCGUCUUAGAGCUUGAGCAGUUUGUCAAGUAGUCAGAGGAUUAUCGUGCUGGUCUUACUAGCAAUGACUUUAUUGCGGGUGCUAUGGAAUAGUUGGUGGGGGAGUUCCAUCAUCAUCCCUUCAUGAAGUAUGUAAGGUAGUUGAAAGAAAGCUAAGGGCCAAUGACUGGGGCUCUUUUCGAGCGCAAUAAGGGAGUCCCUCAGGUUAAAGAUAUUCUCACUGCCAAUAGGAAGGUAGAAUGAUAGCCUAUAAAAACUAAAUGGGGCUUCUUCUUUGGAUCUGUGUUACUCAUAGGGUUGACUGCUUGGUGGGUCGAGAAUGCCUUACAACUAACUCUCUUUGUCCGGGCUUGGCUGGUUUCUUGGGUCCGGUCCUUAGCUGGUGUGAGGCAAGAAGGAAGAGAGAGGCCUGUCUACAUGCGUUCCAAAGCCCUGGAUCAGAGUGCUUCGCCCUACCACUAGUAACUCUAUUGGAAUUGGUCGCUCCUUGAUUAGAGCAUGGCAAUUCGAUUCAGAUUUGGCAAUCAAUUAGAAGGGUCCGGUCCCCCAGAGGGAGAUCAAGAAACCGCUUUGAAUCUCUGAGUUUAUCCCCCGGGUUCUAAGAAUAGCUGGUGCCCUAAAGUACUCUCCCCGGCUCAAAAACGGUUAGUGACUGGUCAUAAAACGCCCGGACUGGUCUGUCUAUAGAAUGCCCUAAAGUCCACAGUUCGGAAACCAAGGGAGUGCCAUUAAGGAGUUCUUGAGAUCGGUACCUGUCAGUCAGUGCUCGCUUUCUCUUAGGCAAUGAAUUGAGAGUGGAGAAGUCGUCUGUUCUAGGCAUAGCUUGAACCCGAAAAACAUCUAUUCUGGUUUUUGGUAUCGAGAAAUCCCCUUAUUUAUUUCUGACUAACUACAAUGCUACACUCGCCGUGGGAAUAAAAACACCUGAAUGCAUGACUAAUUGGGAGACAACAUAGUAGUGAAAUUGGUGCCUUAGUGCCAUAGAAAGUGAUUCGUAAGGCGAGCGAGGUGGACAUCAGUAAUUUCGAUUGCCAGCAAAAAAGACAAGUAAUAAACGGAAUGGAAGAUCUCGUUUUCUCUGUCCCCCUUUCUCCUUAGUAAGCAAAAAAGCGAGAAUCCUAUUUUGUAUGCUUAUGUGCACAAUCCCCAGCUAGGGUAUCGGUAAAGCCCUUUUUUGUGAUAUAUGAGAAUGGAUUGAACGAGUUUCAAGCAAGUUCCAAUUCAAAGGUGAGUCGGCAUGUAAUGGACUGGUAGAUUAGGCUCCUAGCUGCUUCCAUGGAAUGAGAUUCGAGUGCGUGGAUAAAGGAAAUGAGUAAAACUGCUUCCUUCCGUCUUUCAUUAGGGUUCAUCUAUAGGGAAAUCAUAUAGUACGGGUUCAUCUAUAGGGAAAUCAUAUAAUAACUACGUCAGAGUCGGAGUGCCACCCCGCAGAGUGAGGCUUAGUUUUCAUCAAGAGCUUGUUCAUUCAACAGGUUUCCGUCAAUCCAAUCUAGCUUCGUAUGUCUACCCUAGCUAGAGAGAGUGAAGAUGGAAUGAUUUGACUCCAACUCCUAGCGUGCUAAGCCUCCGUAUGCUUUUUCAUAAGAUCCCUCCCACUACUCAGCUUAUUAUUUCUUGAACGGAACUGCGAGACUAAAGGAUGUGAAACCGCGCAGAGGGUGAUGGAAAUGCCAGGAACGUGGACUGAUUGAAUACUCUCUAGCUUAGCGGUACCCUUUUUUAGGAUGUGAGCAAAUAACGUCAGCAAUUAUCAUUUCAUUGUCCUAGUCCUAAGGAUGUGAAGCAGCGGGCGGGCUUACUUCUAUCUUAAGAUGUGAAGCAGCGGGCUUACUUUUUGCUUUUAUAUAAAGGAGAAUAUAAAUGAAUGUUUAUAUAAAGGAGAAUAUAAAUGAAUGACAUCGUAAUAUAAAUGAAUGGCAUCGAAGCUUUAUACUCAAGAAUCCAAUUCGACCGCUUCCCUAACUAACCUAUAUUCAACAUCAAACAAGUUGCUAACUGCUGCUGAUAAGCGACAUUCAACCUGGCCAAGCAACGCCGAAACAGACUGACCCAAGGGAGUUACAGAAUGAAACCCGAAAGUAAGAGUUGAGCUCAUAUAAGCAAGAAUACAAGUAAGUAGCCCGGACUCAAACUAUUCACCCUAAAUGCGACUACUUCAAUUAGAACUCUAGAACGGAAAUGACCCUCGGGCAACCAUACUCUCGUGCUACUACCCUUGACUUUAUAUGCAUUCUUACUUCCUUCUGCUUCAAAUACUGUCUUUUAUUCUGACUUUCCUACUUUACUACUCGCUAAACAUUACUACGCUACCUUAGGUGAAUUCCACAUUUCCACUUGCAGUUCUGUGCUGUUGAAAGCAAAGAAAGGUCGGUGUUGACUCGCUACCGCCCAGAAAACAACACUUAGUCAUAAUUCUGUUUAAUAUAAGUGAUGUGUUCGGUUACGCGGCAGUCCGGGCUACUUAGUUUGCUGUGGUUCCAUGUUAUACUAAUCGUGUCCUGUAUUCGCGAUAUACGUCUGAUACGGCGCCUAGAUAUAACUGAUACUAAUAUACUGGAGUUUUGUUCUAGUACCACCUUAGGAGUUGCAGAAUUCUAGCAAGGACAAUAAGAAUCAGAGAAUGGGGGUAAGUUCAGAUCCGAGGUCAGUAAUGCCAAGGUUCGAGGGUAGCUGGGGAAGAGUCAAGAUAGUAGGCCAGUUUGCCAGUAUAGAGAUUCUAGUUUGAUGAGUUUGAUUCUAAUAGUUAGCAGCGAUAGCCUGUUUGCCCGUCGUACUGUUCGCCAGAGUUCGAUUCUCUCGUUAGUAGAAGUAAAAGCCUUUGUUCCCGGCUCAAUUCUGUAUGUUGACUCCUGUUCUUCUGCUUAGGAGUGCGGUUCCCUCCUAUCCUCCCGAUACCCGCUCUUUUACUGAUGGGCUGGAUUCUUUAACUCCAAAGUGAGUAUGCAAGGGAAAACUCCGAGUCUGAUGGACGGGGAAGCAAGCCGUGGAUGAAGCCAGGGUAGGCUAAGAAGUAGGAAAGCUAGACUUCAAGCAAGGGGCGGGUCCCCAAGUAGUCAGGAUGCCAGGAAGGAUACAUAGAAUUACAGCAGAGGGCCCCCAAUUUGAAUAACUCUCCCAGAGUGGACAAGCGAUACAUAAAAGGUCUGCUGGGGCAUAGAAUAAGACGUGUACCGCCAGGUUAAGUUCAAUUAAAUGACGAAGUAAGGGUUAGGUUAAGCGGGUAGUGUUUAAGAGUGAAAGCGCUGAGAGGGAAGGAUUAAUAAAAGGGGAAAGAAGUCAGUUUGGUAGUUAUCAUUGGAUAGUUAGCAUUGGAUAGUUAGCAUUGGAAGAACCGCCAAGUCACUACAAAUGUGACAAUGAAUUCUUUGUUUACGUUGACCGCUCAAAAGAAAGAUUCCAGUUUUCUAGAUUCGAUCUAAAUUCCCAAACAAGAACAUGCGCUCGAAAAUAACUGUUUGAAGCUGAAGCAUUAAGUAUUGUCAGGACCAACUGCUCUCAUAUCAUAUAAAAAAGGGUAAUAUGUUAGACUCAAAUGAACUAGAACAACUGAUAGUAACCUAAAUGGGAAUUUGCCCAUAAUCGGAGUCACCCCUAUGUGAAACUUAGCUAAAUCAAGGAAUAUACUAAGAUCCAUGUGGAGCAAAGCAGAUCUCCGUUAAUUGAGUUAGAGUGAAAGCACCAGCAAACAGGAUUGAUAUCUGAAGCAUAAGAAGGAAAGCCGAUGAAGCAUAAGAAGGAAAGCCGACAAUAUCAUAUAUGUUAUCAAGCCCACGUAGCGGUAACCAAUAGGUUGGUUAGCUGAAAGAGCGAGGUCAGGCAAAUCAGAAUUCCAUUCAAAAGUCCGGGUAUGAGUAACAAAUAUAAGAAUCAAACUAAUAAGUAAGCCUACCUGUCUUGUCAGUGAAUCAAGUGAAUCAAGCUAAUAAGUAAGUAUACCUGCCUUUGGAUAUGAGCUAUAAGCCAUUGAAUAGUAUAUAUCAGAAUGGAACUACCAGCUCAACUCCUUGUUUCGAGUUCCAUUUCUCGUAUGCCUGGGUUCGGGUCUUGUUAGCUCGGGCUCAACUCUAAUAGUCAGCAGCUCCAGCCUGUUUGCCAUUGGUUCUAUUCCGAGAAGCAGUAGCAUUGGUUCGAUUCCCUUUAUUGAGUAAGUCAGUCAGGAAGCAACGGGCCAAGCAACGACUAGACAAGACGGCCCCCCAUUGCCUUGCCUUCGACCCAGAUAGAAAACAUUUGGGUUCUUCGCUGCUUCUAUAUUGCUCAGUAUAGCACUCUAAGAAUCAGUUUCCAACAAACGGGUGUUUUUCUAGAAUCAAUCAAUCUAUUAAUAUAGGUGGCCCAAUAAACUACAUGAAUGGAAGAUGUUUAUGAUGACUGGAUUGACGUAAGGACCAGCACGCUCGCUAUUAAAGGUAGCUUCUAGCUCUACCCUUUGUCUUUAUUUCCCCUUUCUUUUGAUUCAAAAAAGGAAUGGUGAAUAUAGCCUUUAGUCUUUAGUUAUGGUGAAGGAACCUUGGGCUCAGGACGGAUUUGACAGGUUCGAUUCUCUUUGAUUUUGUUUGAUUGAGAGUAAUAGUGUGCCUUAAGAAAGAUGCGUACCAACGAGGGAAUGAAUCGACGAAAAAGUGGAAAUCCGAAAUUAGCAAAGUGUGAAUUCUCUUGGAAUUGUAAUAGUAGAAAGGCUUAUCAAAUUGGACAACACAUUUGAUUUGAGAUUAUUCGCCCUCGUAUUAUACAUCAGCUAGAAGCUAUUUUGGUUCAUCAGCUAGAAGCUAUUUUGGUUAAGGCCCAUUAGUAUUAGUUGUUCUUGAAUUAGUGUCCUAUUUCUUGUCACUACCAAUUAUAGACGAUACCGAUAAAGAGUUGUCGGACUUUGUGAGUGCAGUAAUACCGUCUGCGUAGUACUCAUUCUUUCUGUAGAAUUGAUUAGGUCGAUACCAUAACCUACACUACAUAGUUAUGUAGCUCCUAUGGGAGGAGGAGCCCAUGAUACGAGUAAGCAAACCAAUGCGCCCAGCCCACUCCGAGAGCUAACAGGUGGAGCGGUCGGUAUUCUCACUGACAGGUUGUAGGUUCGAAUCCUACGCGGGGUUACGAAAGCUCAAAGAAGUAAAUAGAGAAGCUGUUAGCAUUGAUUUGCGAAUGAAAUAAGUCUGUGAAUAGAUUGACUGCUCUCGCAUAUCAGCUGUAGAAAGUGAAUAUAGCAUAUCAGCUGCCCUUCUUACUAGGCUUACUUUAGGUCGGAUAGUUUUCAAGUGAUCAAGUCAAAACUCUUUUAUGUCAAUAGAGAAAGCACAUUAAGAAAGAAAGCAAGUAAUUAGGUUUAUUGUUGAGAAUCUUUUGAAAUGGGUUCCCUUUCUUUAUCUUUAGGGCGAAGGGAUGGGCUUUCAAGGGAAUGAAUAGGCAUCUGAUAAGACCCCGGCCCCUACGAACCUCGUUAUUUCUUUUUUCCACACUAGGAACAUAGUAGUGGUUGUAGCUUCGCUCCCUUUGCCACCGGCCCUUGAUAUCAAAUAAGAAAACCACGAUCUCGAUCUUUCAACGAGGAAAUGAAACGCUAGAACAAGAGCAAGCCCAAGAGAAAAAAGAGCUCUUCCAAAUCCAAUAUAUCAUAUAAUUUCAUAUAGAACAUAUAAUUUCAUAUAUUAGGGGUAAUGAGGUCCGACCAGACUACGGCUUCGGCUCCCUCCUCCUCGUAAUAGAACUCCAACUGACUCAAUCUAUAGGUCAUAGGAAUGAACCGUUUUUACCCGAUCUGUCUCCUUACCAUGGCUGGUGCAUAGCUAAUGCAUCCCCAAGGUCCUAACAGGGGAACUAAGGGUCAUUACCACAUCUGCAAGGGUCAUUACCACAUCAGUAUAAUACCUGACACGGAGCCGGGCCCCAUACAAUACUUUUCUCAUUCAUGUCUUGCCCAUACAAUACUUUGAUCAUUCAUGUCUUGAAGGAGACUUAACCUAUUGAAGUUUGGUAUACGGUCCCGUCCAUUUGCUCUUCCUAAAUUCUUAUACAUGGAUUUUCUCCUGCCGGCUUCGAUAAUUGGCGUUCGCAGCACUCGAGAUGACUUCUUAUCCAGACGUACAAUAAUGCACCCUAUGAAUCGUCCUUAUCCUUUGGUCCGGAAAAAGAUUGGAACGUAUUCGCCUGUAUUGCUGGUAAAGGGUUGGUUCCAUGUAUGACUUGACUGAAAAGAUCCACCACUCGAACAUCCACCCAAGGCCUUUGGGGGAAGAGAUAGGUUCUAACCCAGAGUAAGCCAGUGCCAUAAUGAGUAUGCCCGCAUCAGAAUCUGGGUGCUGUUCAACAACAGUCUGCAGAGGAAUGGGCUAGUAUCAAAACCUAAACCUUAUCCUUUAUGUACGGAUCCAGUUCAUAUGCGUGUAUGCCCAUCAUUUUCGCGAGUUAGCUCUUGAAACCCACCUUUCCGCUCAUGCAAAUGUUCAAAAGGCUUUGUUUGUCUGGACGGCACAUUGAGCAAGACAGUGUAUUCUUCAAUGGUUAAGAGUAAUAUCAAUUGAGCCGAAAGUAUAGCAUCGGUAGUUAGGAUCCCGGACUGGCAGCCUUUAGUAAUUAGUAAUUGGUCGUCAAUGGGAACUUUCAGAAGAGAGCCAAUGUGUCCAUACUUACGGCAAAAUUAUGGCUUUCUUUCUUUAUAGUAGCAAACCAUCCUUUACAGACCAGACCUUAUCCAGUCCAGAGCGAAACUAUAGUUCUUCCUAGGAUCCAGGCUACCUUUUUAGGCAAUGGAAUUCCCUUUGUUUAUGGUAGGAAAUCUAAGGCCAAUAAUUCGAUCACCAUUCCUGGCUCUUCGCAUAUGGAGAACUCGAAGAAUUAGGGUUAGGCUGUAAAUUACAUAGAAUUAGAAAAAGCGAUAAUAAAGAGGGUCUUUCAAUGAUAGCUAGGAGCGCUGUUUCCUCCAUAUGCUAGAUUCAAUGCCAUAGAGGAUAGGGAAAAGAAAGGAUGCAAAAGUAACAAAAAGAAAACACAGAGUUUGUAAAGUGAAAAGAAAGGUAGAGUUUCCAGGAUAUGAGUAAGGUAAGAUAGCCGCUUUUGCCUAAGCUGAGCUUUCUUUCAUAGCUUUUGCUGUAAACAAAGAAAGACUUAGAAUCAUCCUAGUACUAAUCGGGGGAACUUCCUCUAUAAAGGCUCAUUUUCACCCUUCUAUGUCCCAAAGUCAAGUUUCAAUCAUGUUCUCCCUUCUCUGUCCCAAAGUUCCGUUUAAGUAUAGAAUCCAAGUUCUGUUCUAUCAGUAUAGAAUCCAAGUUCUGUUCUAAUGGAUUUAGACUAGCAAUUCCUUCCUUUCGCCUAAUCAAAGAUAUAAGGUGGCACCCAAACGAAGAAAUAAGAUAAGGCCCUCCUCACCUCAAUGCUAUGGAUCAGAACCCGUAGUCGAGUGGCAGAAGGCUCAGUAAGAAUCCAUUCUUGCCUUGAAAGAAAAUCCAACUAAGCCCAUUGCUUUGACUUUCUUUCUUGGAAGUAUUUGAUUCGUUGCAAGCUUUGGGAUUGCUAGUAUUGCUUGCUUUCUCAAUCAUUGUCGAGAGAGAUGGAACUGAUUGAUUGGAGCGGGUAAUGUUUACCGUGCGGGCUUAGUAACGAAUGGUUCAUGAGGAAACAGGAAUGUUUUAGUUGAUCAAGGAAGGGUUUGAGUAGAAAAGUCAUGAAUGGAAUUGACUUGCUGGUGUUAACUUGACUACCUUGGUUUGUGAAACAGUGAUGCCUCCAAGGUCGGGUAGAGGGAAGAGUGGAAUCUCCAAACUCAUUGGUCGAUGAAUUAUGUAUUGAUCAAUGGUUGUUAGCGAAUUGAGGCAAGGAUAAGGAUGGUUUGUGGCUCGUUCAGUUCCCCCACGCCCCUAUGGUUUAUUAACCUCUGGAAUACCCCUUCUUUUUCUUAAGCCGUCUGUGAAAAAGACCUUCACCAUCUCUGAUUGCCCUCGUCCAUGGUCACUGAUAUCAUAUAACCUCUGAUCUAGUAAUCUGAUCCGUGUGCACCUCAAACGGCACAUCGUCGUCCGGGCGCUUUAUUAAUAGGUUCUACAGAAGGUUGGUAAUAUACUCUUAUGUAAGUAAGCGUUCUUUCUUCGCGUCCGUCAUCGCCUGCUGCUGGUCUAGCCUUUUGACAACGAUCAACAAAUCGGUGUUGGUAAGAGUUUUUCGCCUUAAUGAACCGCCGGUAAGAGUUAACUAGUCCCAAACAAACCUAACCUCUUCGACUCGUUUCGGAACCUUACAUUCUCGUCGAGAUAUCCGCUGGCUCGUACCUUCCCAUUGUCCAUCUUGAUCAUUUCCUCGCUAAUUAAUCCAGUGGCCAAUAACCGUUCUUUCUGGUCUGCGAUGCAUUCUUGGCUGCCCCAGUAGUAGUCAUUGUGUCGUGGCACUCCUUUCUUUUGUAGUGACUUUCUCCAAUCUAUAUUAGGCGCUAGAUUGCAUUCCCUUUUGUGGAGCCUACUGAUCUUGCUUGCCAGUGGGUGGGAUAGAAGACCUCUUUUUAUCUGUCUUUCGCCAGGUUCCAAAUAGCAUUAUGUCUAAUAGCAUAGGUUUCAAAUCCAAUAAAAGAGUUCUUUGCGAUCAGUUCUAAAGCCAGCCUUUGAAUUGCAGGGUUUUCUCGUGAAAAGAUAGUGAACAAGGUGCUAUUAGAGCAUACCGACCUGACUCAACGAACACAAACACAAUUAAUAGAAUCAGCGUACUCGCCUCCAUAUACGCCAUCGCCUCCAUAUACGCCAUUUAUGAAGAUGGAAAUACUUACUGACUCCGCCCGCCGUCUCCCUCCCCUAAGACUAGCCAUACGUAAGAAGCCCCUAUUUCCACGCAUGCGUGUCAGACCGUAAAGGAAGGAGCAGCAUAGGUAUAUUAUUCGAGGUAAAACCAUGAUUGUUUAUAGUACCGGAAGGGUUUGGCUCGCGCUUUAGCGUCAGGCGCUCUAUUUUCUUUCCGCUGACUGGAGACUCAACCUUUAUACUGCUUAUGCAGCUUACUUCAUAUUUUCUUCUUCCCUUCUCUUUUUGAAGAUGGAAUUCCGGUAAAACAUCCUUUUUUCUUGUUAGCUGCCCUCGACUGGAACUUCUGGUUUGGGGAGCUCCGGCAGUGGGACGUCGAGUCUCAUCUCAGCAGAACCUUCUCUUUUUCCUCAAACUCUCUGAUGCUGAGAGAAAAGCGAACUCUUUCUCAUUGUGGUUUCUAGCAAAAGUGGAACACAUUGAGCUAUCAUGUUGAGCUUGCUCUUCCUAUUUGAGGGUUUCUCUCAAGAUGCGCUGAAAGAUAUGAAUGUAUUGUGACGAGCUGCUCUUGGAUACUUUCUUCGUAAACAUCGAUAUGUUUUUGCUUCCAAUGAAUAGGCAGCCUUGGAUGCUUCUUACCUUUGCUAGGCUGGGUACGGUUCGAUCAAUUGCUUCCAAAUCCUUUACUUUCUGCUCAAAGUGGAGCUUUUUUUUUUGGUGGCUACACGAGUCUUAUGAAAGAGAACAAAUCUCACAAAUAGCUAAUUCUGGUCGAUAAGUAAAGAGUGGGGCAGACGGAAGAAGUUCCUUAGACCACUGACUCACCUGCCUUUGAUUUCAUAAUUCCAGCUCUUCCGGAGUCUAACAUCUUCCGGAUCUCGUCAUUCCCCUCUGCGACUUCAGGCUCACUCAAUCCUUUAUACUGUAGAUGCAACAGCCUACUGAUUGUAAUUCCAGGGUACUUGAUUGUCGGUCUCAUAGGGAAUUGGAUUUGGAUGGGUUUGACUGUGGUCUGGUAGUGACACGUGAUGGUGAUGAUGAGUAGGAUUGCUCAUGGAGUUAGGUGUAAAGGAUAUUAAAUGGAAACGGGCUGGGGUGUUCCUUUAGUAACUGCAAUUAACCGUUUAGCAGGAGCCUCCUUACCAAGCAAGCAGUAUUCACUUCUUCGCGGGAUUACGGGUCUUGUUAUAAGAGAUGGUUUUCCUUUUGCCUGCGCUUUCAGCAAUACGAAAAUGGCUUAGUUUGUUUGUCUUAACCCAUCUAUUCUAAAAUGCAGAAGCCUUACCCUCUUCCUUUUUUCCUUUAUUUUGAGAAAGGCUUUUGUUCAGUCUUGAUUGUGUGUUGAGAAGCCAAGAUGUGAGACAACUAAUAUAAGAAGCAAUUGAUGCACAUCUGAAGUUGUUGCGCUUCGAAGAGCUCUUGCUCACAGGAGAGUUCCCUAUGUAACAGGAGAGUUCCAUAUAGCUUUCAAGUCAUCAACUCGUCUUGUCUUGACGCUGCUUGGCUUCCGUCAAUUCUUUCACGCCUACUGUCCGCGAGUUCGGUUUGUCUGCAAGACUCAAUAAAAGUCCAAAGUGGUUCCCGAACACAGGACAAUGGAUUUAUUACUGGCUUUGCUUUUGGCAACUUCACUGGUUCUCUUGCCCUACUAAAUGAGAUCUUCCGCCCCACUGCCGCUACACUGACUACGUUACUUGCCCAGUGUCUUGGCCCUGUUAACCGAGUAGUUAAUGGCUUAGCGUAGUUAAUGGCUGAACGCACCCGGACAGUCCUUGGAAUGGAUUUACCCCCCUAAUAUUUCUUAUUCCCUUGCUGGUUCUAUUGCGCUUACUGAGUGGACAGACACGGCGGGCUUCUUCCUUUCCUUUGGUGUAAGACUUGCUCUUGGAGCGAGUAAAGACACUGAACAAGUUCUUUCUUCUUAGGGAGCUCACACUGCUUAUGGGCGCUUCUGAUCUUUCUUCAUCUGUUGCUUUCGUUGCCUUUGCUCGAACUACACUGGAAUUUCAAACAGAAACCAACAAGCUACUAGAUAAGGACAAUAUGCAUGCAUCAUAAGGGCCAAGCUCAUACUUCAGAAUGGAAUGGAAUAGCAGUACAGGGUUAGUCGCUUUUCGGAAUUGUAAUAAUACGGAAUUGAAGUGGAAGUGCCUUUCGCACCCUAAACAAGGAGUGUAAGCGGCACUGAAUUCAUGCUUGGACCACUCCCAGAGACCAGACAUAGCCCAUUUGGCGUUGUUUCACUUAUGGUAAACAAAUAUGAUAGGGAAAAUCUAAUGGAAACUUGGAAACUGUCUUUCUAAUGAAUUUGGGGCCUAUACUCUUGUUUGUUUGCAAGCCGUUGAACUCAUGUAAGCACAACAUUCCGCUGCUUGUUUCACUGACAACUCACUUCCUUUAAUAAUGAAAGUAACAAAACGGAGCACUUACUCACUUAGCUAACUCCCUAACCCAAAUCAAAACUUUACUUACGAGCAAAUGUAGUAGUAAUGAUUUGAAUAAAGAUCAAGCAGCAGAUCGUUCUCCUGAUCUUGCUUCUAUAUGAUCAAAGGUGUAAGCCUUAACUACUAGAUGUUGGGUUACCCUUCACCCUUAACUACAAUAAGGACAAAGGCACAGGAUGCAUCAAAGAAAGGUGUUAGGUAUUGCAUAGAGAAAGGGAAUAUUCAAUCAAGAAGAGAUAUAGCUUCUGUAUCGGGUGCUAGUGUUGACGACGCUGAAUUAGGACUUGGCGCUUACAGAGUUAUCAGAUCUUCUGCGCACUAAGCAAUCUGAUAGACUACUUUACUUGGGCAAUCUUCAUGACUAAGAUCUUCCGCGUUAGGGAGUCAUGCUUCUGCGCACUAAAUUCCUGUGAGAGUUGACUGUAGUUCAAAAUACUUCAUUGAUUAUCGAGCAUAGAGUUCCAGUUUUCGGGAGUUUAGCGAGGCGAAAGUCAUGCUAUCAAGAAUCUUAAGUAUAAGGAAAGACUUCAUUCCGUAUUUGUUGAACAAGCAAGGUCAAAUAGAACAAGUGCUUUAGCGAGUUGUGCUUCAUAAGUGGAUCAUGAAACAGAGACCAGAGAAUAAGACAUUGAUUCUUUCUUUCCCGCUGACAGGAGAAGGCUUAUGAAACGAAACCCCACUUCCAGGAACCUCCGCUCCACUUAGAGAAUGGCAAAUCACUUACUUUAUACCUCGAAAGGCAGUUCUACGGCAUUGACGCCUAACAUCUUGACUUUCUACCCGCUUGGUCAAUCAAAUCUCAUGAAGACGAAAACCAUGGCUUCUUUACACAAUCUGUCACUGCCUGUCCUCUUAUCAGCAUGAACGAGCAUCCAAAGAAAGAAGAAUGUUCCCACCACUCUAACGAUUAUAGAACAACAAGCUGCUAUGGCGCACUCUGAACUGACGUUAGCACCCGAUCAAGCAAGUAACAGCUCUCGCUAGGGUCAAAAAAAGGUAUUUAUAGAUAUCUUGUCACGUUGAAAGAAAAGAUAUUGUUGUUGACUCUUUGAUAUUGGUGUGGUUGUGCUUUCUAUUCUUUUGCAUUCACAAGCGUGUUCUGAUCUUGACCCGAAGGUAGUAGCGGUAGCCUUCGUAAGGCAAGAAUGGAAUAGAGGGAGUUGUGAGUUAGCCCGUUAGCUUUGGAGUGAGUAGUGACUUUUGGAGUAAACGAGAGAGUAGAGAUGAUAAGAGUGGGUAGCCUCCGCGUAGAAGUCAUUGCCCCGCUGGAGCAAGCAAAGCAGGUUAGAGUACGGUUGGUGCUAGUGUUGCUUGUGUAUAAGUCUUAAAGUGAAUGAGUUCUUGUGCGAGUAACGUCUAGGAAAUUCUAGUAUAGGGCCAGCAAGUGACGUUCGAGUUGACUACUGAAUAUUUCCAGAAGCCGAAUCGACUCUCUCAAGCUCAUGGAGCGGUGUUGUAGCAAGGGAGCGGACCCACUUAUGCGCAAAGCUGUGAGUCUAAUCAUAUAAAGAAUGUUGAAGGCCCAUGUGACUCCCGAAACCUGGACAACGCGGUUCAGGCUAAACACCCCGCUUUCCAGUCGCCCUGGGUAAACGACUUUGUUAGCCUUACCCUUAACUUAUAUUUAGAUGCGUAGGCUAUACGAACUCCCUUACCCUUAACUUAUAUUUAGAUGCGUAGGCUAUCUGAACUCUCUUAACUGUAACAGAGACCAUGGAUCGAACUCUACCUCGCGCUACUAAAGCAUCAGCUUCAAUAAAAGGCAACUAAAGCACCCGAACCAAACUCUUGAACCUAUGAUUAUCUAUCGUAGCAUGUUCCUAAUUCUUAUCCAGUUUCGGCCGAUGAUCUUGUUCCUACUCUUUGCACUCUAACAGGUUACAUUCGGGGCUUUUGAGUCUGAUUCGUUUCCUUUCCGGGCUUUGGAGUGUCCUCUCCUGUUACUUACUUCCUAUGAACGCUAUAUUCCACAAUUAUUCAAUGAAGGUAUCGAGUCGCCAACACUGAGAAAAGUCAAGUAAGCACAACUGCUAAAGAUCAAGCAAGCACUUAAGAGGAAUGUUCUUUUGCACUCAAAUAUAGCUUAGCUCUCAUACCUUUACCUGCCUGGUACACAAGGGAAUAAGACAUAAAUGACUUUAACUAACAAAGGGUGAACUCCGUAAGCGAGCAGAACGUCAUUACUUAUAGGUUUGAAACAAAGCAGUGAAGUUAGAGUGGAGUGACUUUAUUCUAUAGUGUUUGUGUGUUUGUCAGUCAAAUUCUUUUCAAAAGGCAAUGGAACAAGGCCUUAAUUCAAAGAACUCGCUAACCCGUGAAAACAUCUACGAAGACAGGACUUGGUAGGAGGCAAGGAAGCAAGCUUUAGUGGAGGUAGUAAAGUAGGAGACAAGCAGUCAGAAUAGAACUAAGUAGUACAAGUAUAAGAAUCAUACCUAGACCUAUUAGUAGUUAUCGGAGAGAGGAAGCAAUAAGUACUGAAGAAUUGCUAUCAGGCAAGUCGACAAGUGUAACUGUAGUAGUGAGUUAAAAGAAAAAAAGGACUGGCUCGUAAANNNNNNNNNNNNNNNNNNNNNNNNNNNNNNNNNNNNNNNNNNNNNNNNNNNNNNNNNNNNNNNNNNNNNNNNNNNNNNNNNNNNNNNNNNNNNNNNNNNNNNNNNNNNNNNNNNNNNNNNNNNNNNNNNNNNNNNNNNNNNNNNNNNNNNNNNNNNNNNNNNNNNNNNNNNNNNNNNNNNNNNNNNNNNNNNNNNNNNNNNNNNNNNNNNNNNNNNNNNNNNNNNNNNNNNNNNNNNNNNNNNNNNNNNNUUUGUUUAGCUCCUGAAAACAGUGGAAUCCCUAGUUUGAUCUCUUUGCUACGAAAGAAGUUAUUGGUUCUCUAAGUCGUCAUAGGGAGAAGUUAUUGGUUGGCUUUCCCCUAUAGAGGUUGGUGCUUGACUUUAAUAUUGAUUGAAUUCUAUACCAUCGCAAGUCCUUGCAACUACUACAGACGCAACUCAGGAUAAGGAGUGUUAGGCCGAGUCCUUUCUUCGGGCGAUAGGGAGUUUGCUUCAGCUAGAGCUAGAUUCCAUUAUGUAUUUGUUGACAAGGGAUGAGCAACAAGUCCACCACACCAGUUCGGGCAAGACGAACAAGUCAAAGAAAAAGAUCUGAAUGCCGAUGCCUAAUAGAAAAAGUCAUUAAUAAAACAAGUAAGUAUAAGUAAGCGAGGCGAAAGUAAGGGUUCCGUCAGGGCAGAAGCUGAAGCAAGCAGACUAGUAACUACAGCUUGUUUCAAGAAGUGUUUUUUGCCAUAGGGGUAGUUACGCAAUAGCACAUUUCACUAUUCAUUAUGGGAGGUCAAGAAUACGAGUAUCCUGCUAGUCGAGGUAAAGUUUCAAGUAUAGUAUCUAUUUCUGCUCCGGGUAAAGUUUCUUCUGCUCGAGGUGAAGUUUCAAAUGUUGUAUCAAGACUUUAUGCGCGUAUCGAGUUACGUGAAGCUCGUCUCAUAUAGAGUAAGGAUCCGGAAAUGAUGUUUCUGUGCGAAAGGUCAGGUCAACUGAAAGCGGUAAAGGUGUAGUUCAGGGAAGAAAAUCAUCUAGUAUAGGUUCCAGUGCUUGUGUCUAAGGCUUACGCUCUGCCAGUUCCAGUUUCAUCUGUGUUGUCUACAAGAGAGGAAUCGGUGGUAUAAGUAGGAUAAGUCUCAGUAUCUUUAGAGGGAACAAGAACAAGAUCAACAGAUGGGGGAGCAGGUUAGGAAUAAAGAGAAGAAGCGCUGUACCCAAACUCAUUUAUAUACCUAAUGCUCUAUAAAUAAAGAAUUCCUCAUUGAUAACUAAACUAAUUGCAUUGAAGAAAGGAGGCUCAGGUUCCAAGAAAUGAUGAUUCGUCUGGAGUCUCGGAUCUUAUACAUGUUUGAGCCAAAGAGAGGUAAUUGAUACCGGCAGUCCCUUUCUUUUUCUUGAAAGUGACAGAUAGCCAGCCCUAAAGUUAGGGCCCCGGAGAGGAGAUAGGAUUUCUUUCUCAACUUUGAUCGACCCUUAUUUCCGAACAUUGACCAAUUCUCUCUCAUUGUUACAAUACAGACAAAAUGAUGGCGAGACAAUCGAUAUGUGUAAGUAGAGAAAGACCGGAUGGGCGGACGACUGCUUAUUCUGGACAUCCCGCUCCGUGGAGGUAAGCUCCGAAAGACUCUCUCAAAUCAAUUGGAAAUGCUAUGAGCUUCUUUGUCAAGUCAGCAGUAAUGAGUCAAGAGUAAUAUUUCACUAUUCAUAGAAUAUAGUCCUAUUUUCUUGGAAGUCCUAUUUCCUAUAAUCAGUUAUUUGAGAGUUGAUUCUCUCGGGUCAUUUUAGCAUGUGACUUACCUUAACCCUGUGUACUAGAGAAGAAAGAGGGAAGUGAGCAGCGCGUAUGACUUCCUUAGGAUAGAGAGGAGAAGGAAAGAAUAUGGAUUCGCACAAGAAUCAGACAUUUGCACUAUUUAACCAAGGCAGUGUGAACCCAUGCUUUUGUUGGGCAAACCGUGAUGAUUCACUUUUCUAUAUUACGCCGGCGAUAUCAUAUCAAAUAGAAGAACAUUAUUGACUAUUGCAGAACAUUAUUGACUAUUGCAGGUUAUGCCCUGCCUUGCUCUCUUAUAAGUGCAAUAUUCUAUAAAUUGAUGAAAAACACUCCUUAGCAUUUCAAAACAAACACUCCUUAGCAUUUAAUCAAAGGAUACAUUGCCAGGGCGUGGGGAAAAAGCGCUCAUGAAAGCGUGUAGGAAUAUCGAACCUCCUCUUCUUUGCUUUGAGAGCGCCAACUCUUAUUUCCGUGUUUUUACUUAAGUAUCGAAUUCUAGAAACUCAUAUGAAACCAGCAACAGAAUCAGAAGUUUUAAGAAGGAAGCAAGGCAUUGUAUAGAAAGUGGUAAUAUUAGAUUAUUCUAUACUAAACACAAACUCACGUAAGCGCUUUAGUUACUCAUUCAUUUUGGACUGAUACGCAUAUAAUAGAUGAUUUCUCAAAGAAUCUAUUGCCUAGCUUCAGUAAAUGAUACAGCUUAGCUUGCCUUUUCUUUUUGAUUGAACUAGUAGCUUGGCCGAACCACUUGUUUGUUGAUUUCUGCUUGUUUCAUGCACGUAUGAUAUAAUUGAGUCACAAACGACAGCAUACUUCUGGUUUACUUUACUUGAGUCACAAACGACAGCAUACUUCUUACCUAACUUGACUUCACUUAUUUAUAUCGGCACCUUUACAUCUUUCUAGAUUGAUAUCGGCACCUUUACAUCUUUCGAGGAGGCGGAAACUCUUGCUUUCAUGCCGUACAAAGAGGUCUACUGGGAUUGUGGGAAUAACCCCGCGAAGAAAUCAAAUGAAUGUCAGGCUUAAGAAUCUAUUUAGGAAAGGAAACUUAAGGAACUACUAAGAGCGGGCAGGGCAGCCAAAAACAUAGCUAGUAGGCGCCAAGUCACUGCUGCAAAGAGAAUCUUUUUCCGUAUAGAGGAAAUACUGGUCAAGAGAAAUGAACUGUUCUGGUCCAAACAAUAAAGUAAGAAAGCUUAAGGCAAAUAGAGAUUGAACUCUGCACCAAUAGCUUUGGAAAUCAUCCCAUGUCGUUGUUUGGUUGGAGCUUCUGCCCAGCUAUGUGCUAAAGAAUAAGCUAUAACCUGACCAUACUUCUAGAAAGACCUCAAUGGUACUUAUGGGAGUUUCAGACUUAUAGAAUGGACUUAUAGAAUGGCGCUAAUGAUUGGGCAUUCCAACUGAAACGAUUAAUCCCAACCUUAUAGAUCUCCUCCCUACUUAUUACCAACCAACCUUGUUAUAUCGGGGGAACUCCUCCAUUUCAUUCUAUUUCGGUACCACCGCUUACAAUCGACUCUACAAAAGAAGAGGACACUUUCGUAUAGGCUUAUUCUGAUCUCAUAUGAAACAAAUAGGCUUUCGCACUUCCAUUGAGACAGAAAGCACUUAAUGACCAGUUCCCUAGCUAGAAGUUCCUCGGUAGAUUGAUUCAAGUCUUAUUAAUAUGAGUAUAUCGAUACGAAACGAAACCGAAAUGGAAAAUUGGAUCACGGGAAAGAAAGGGGAAAGACUACCGAUACCGAGUACUACCGAGACAUUAUACCAAGCAAGCUUUGGGGUCAAAUAGUGUAGAAGGAAUUGGUGGUCAUAGAAGAUUGAAAUAAGUCCAAUAGUUGACGCCUUUAAGCAUCUUUCCCAUUGACCCGAGGCGUGCUAACAAAUAGUAGGGGCCCCCAUCCGAGGGACUUUGUUUGACUAUUAUUUCUGAAUAGGGCAAACUCAACCGUUCCAAGUGGAUUACUAGGCCCAUCAGGCGAUUCAACACAGACGAGGGGAAACCCUAAUGAUAAGGAAGAAAGAUCGGAAGACUCAUUAGGACUUGCUUGCGAGAACAACCAAAUGGAAUUGCUUUAUAGCUCUUUCCUAAGAUAUCUUCUUUCUCUAUCUAUGCCCUUAGUCCUCUCUCGAAAAGCAAUGGAAGGCCUUUUAGCUAGUUGAGUUCUUUCAUCGCCCCUGUCCCUCGUAUACUUUCAUUGUUCUUUUUCCACUUUCUUUUCGGAUUGUUGUUCUUACAAAAGGUUCCACUUCCCUUGAAGACGGACAUUUCAUGAGUUCCUGUUUGUUUUAGGAAAGAGCCUCGGCCUACUUGCUUGCCUAAGUUCUGAUGAAUGGGCUCAGGAGAUUAAUGAUCUUAGGUUUGAAUGAAAGACAGGAGACGAACGUUGUCGAUUGGCUUGGUACCGUCACUUUAGAAUGCACUCCUGGAAAGACUCUCGUCCAUAUUAGUUUCAUUGCACGUCCAUAUUAGUUUCAUUGCCCAACCCGCUAAGAUAUCAAACUCAUAGUUAUAGCUAUCGAUGAAAGUGCUAUCUACCUAAGGCAGCCUUAUUCAUUCGAUUGAGUUCCCGAUCGAUAUGAUACAUAUGGAUCAAAGACGCUCUCUCUUAAUUGCAUUCUAUUUAGUGAGGUCCGCUUGGCAUCCGGGUGAGGACAGAUUGGGUAGUUGGGGCCUCAUCCACUUUUCUGCUUCUAUUCUUCUUUCCUAUUAUUGAUCAAAUAAGGAAUCCAGCGCAAGCUUCGACUCAGUGGCAUGGCAGUAGAACCGACCAAUCUUUCUGAAACAAGGGUUAGGGUGGUCCCAUUACGGUGGAUUGGGAAUCAUACAUAAGGUAGAUCCCGUCAGAGUGAGCCGGGGAGAUCAAAAAGGAAAUGCAAAUCCGAAUAAAGAAGGAACUUCAUUUCAUGGAUACAGGGAAGAGAAGAGGGAUUGAAAGAAAGGAAAUUUGUUCGACAACGAGUUGAGUGAUCCAAUAGGCCCAUGUUGAGAUAGAAUGAUCCGAGCCUAAAUAAUCUUCCUUCCCAUCACAAUCCACUAAUAGUAAAGUAAAGGAAAGGAAGAGGCGCCCUUGCCAAGAGCCUGUUCCAGUCAUGGGAGUUUCCCUUACUCCGUUAAUUCGUUAUCUGUCUCACCGGUCUAAGCAGUACCUAUUUCCGGAACUAGUCAAUCGAAUCUUAGACUCGGCUUCCAAAAGUCAAAGAAGAAAGAAGGUAAGACAACGUUAGAUAGCACCCCCACUUAAGCCGCCAGUCAGACUAUCUCUCAUUUUCAUACGAUUUUCGGCAUCAAACAUCACACAUAGGACAGGUUAGGGAUAUAAGGGGAUUGCAGCUGGAGUCAAAACAAGAGUCAAAACUGGAGCAAUUGAAUCCGCCGAAUCCAGAACAAAGGUAGGUUCCUAACUCAUUGGAUAGCAUCAUUUCUUGGUCAGGGAUACCAUCAAAACAAAACGGAUUGAGGAGCCUAGACUUUACAGGGCAUAGGGUAGAUUGAACAGUCCUUUACCUUUAAGUGGCCUUCUUUCUCUUUCUUCUACGGAGCUCUUAAAGAAUGGAUCAGCUCCUAGCGUGACAAGUCCAAGGUAGUCAUGCCAAGAGCGGGCAAACACUGUGAUCGGAACUGCCCUACUAUAACUCCCAAUUGGCCUGUUAGGAUCGCUAGGUCCAUCAAAGUCUAGGAGAAACCCCAGUAUUCCAAAAUGACUCUUGGGGAGCAUGUCGUGGCUUGGGGACAGGAUUUGCACCAAUCAAACGAACUUGACCCUUUAGUAGAUCGCGAGAAAAGUGUUGUUAGGUUCUUUUUUAGUAGCAAGCAAUCGGAGACCUUCCUUUCCUAUUAGUGCUCCUUCCGCUUCCUUUGUAAUUGGACUUCGACGUCCUACCUCACGAAAAUCCAUUCUCCCAGCAACAAAGAGAUAGGUAUAUCCCCAAAAAGCAACAACGAUAUAGGUAUAUCCCCAAAAGAAAAUGCCCAACGGAGGUCUCCCUUGAUACAGAACAAUUCAAUUCGUCAUAGAGUGGAUAAAAAAAAGCACUUAUUUGGCAAAGCCCAACCGGAUCUUCUUUCUCUGAUGCGCUAGUACCAAAUAGACCCGCCGAGCGUACCGGCUACACCUCCAGAUUGAUCAGGUAUACUACUAAGAAUAGAGAAUCCGUGUUCACCUUAUAGUGAUUUCUAAGUAUCCGUUUAAGUGUUGAAUUGUAUUGUAAUAAAGUAGUCAAUUAGAAAAACACCUACUGGUCGAAGUGAAACUAAAGACUAAUGCACCUAUUCAUUUUCAUUUGGAACCUUCUCACUUAUUUCCCUAUCGGGGAACAAAGGCUAUACGAGAAUCUUGAGCUUGAUAGAGCAAAGGAAGUACUGAUUAGCUCUCUUCUUACCCUCUAGGCUAACAGAACUCAAACCUAAAGGAAGUCUCACGCUAAUAAGAGGUUUCGAAGAACAACGAGUCUCGAAGCAGAGCAGCGAGAACGAAUGUGAGAGGAGCGAAGCAGCUCAGGAUGUGGCAUCUUUCCUUCUGAGAUUUGUUUUAGGCCUAGAAGCUCCACCCAGAUGAAGCACUUCGGUUCGGCAAGAAUAUCAGGUUGGAUAUCGAUAAAGCAAAAGAGAAUCAGAAAAGCCCAUUAGCUAGAAAGCCAUAAGGACUGAAACCUAUUGAAUCGUAUCAAACUACAUCUUGACCAUGGAAAGUAGGUAUCAAAACAUUUGAAAGACCGCUAACAGAGAGAUCCUUUCACUUGCUUAUUUCCGUAAUCUCCUCCAUCCCUAUCCAUCCUUAGACUGACCAGAGAAAGAGAUAGCCCGGAUAAUACAAAGACCGCAUAAUCUUUACCAAUAUAAUAUGGUGAACUUUGAAAAAACCAUCUUAAGUGAGAGAAUUGGCAGAGGUAUUUCUAGCUUUUGCUAUAUUGAAAUCGAAUAUAGACUCUAAAUAGAUAGAAAGAUGACCCGAUCGGGCGUACCAUAAUAUCGCUCCAUACAUAGAAAUGCCUACAUUCUCCGCUCUUAUGUUGGGCUCUGCGCUUCCACCUACAAUCGGAAUGGAAAGAGUCACUAUAGAUAUGGUCAACACCCUAGCUUCCCCUACAAUCGGAAUGGAAAGAGUCACUAUAAGAUAUGGUCAAAACUAGAUAUGGUCAACACUCCAUUUUCUGCUUACUUUCUUAUAAUAUAAGGUAUGGGUUCGUUUUUUCGGGUGACUUUUGGGAAGAGGCAUGAGCGCAAUAGUUUACGCGAGCAGGUGAAUGCUUGCUAAGAGGGCUUUUCUUCUUCUUAGGCUGGAUCAAACCUCGGCUUCAUCGGAUGAAUGAACGUCCACCACUCCUACUAUCGGCAUACCGAAAAGCGGAGACUGAUUGGAUUUCUUCUAUCUAUGUAGCCAUUUGUUAAGUCAUAAUUCAAGUGUGGAGGUCAUCCGAAGAAAAACAAUAAAGUAUAUCCUUCCUAUCAGCAGUGUAAGGUGAAAGUUGCUGUAGUAUUGGCUUUCACUAACUUAAUAAGGUGAUUGUCAUAGGACCAACCCAUUUUUCCUUUGAUUUCGGAAUGGGGCCCUCUCCUUUCUGGGUUUUCGCUAGCCUACCACUUUUGGAAAGGCGCUUACAGGACCUGAAAUACCGGCUAUUGCAAGGAUUACGCAUGAAGUGAAGUGAGCUUUCUUUUCGUGUCUAACUAUCACACAGGUUACGAGAGGCAAGGGGGAAUCCUUAAGUCUCUACUCAGAGAAUACGGCCGAAGAAAGGCAACUCGUUAGAGUGACGGGGACUGUAGCAGACGAGAUCUCUCUAGCUGUCCUUAGGUUUGACUAAGUUUAUAGGAGUGAGUGAAUGCAGUCGUUAAGCCGACAAUGCUAGUAAGAUGGACAGAACAGGUAGCUUGCUUCCGAGCCACUUAUACAGUCAAUUCAAUCCCCUCACAUCUUGGCAGAGUGCCCUUAUCAUCUUACUACUAUACCCACCAGGGAAAGCAGAAGGCAUGACAGAGUUAUGGAAUCCGGGACAGGCUCGCAAUACCUUAGAACAAACUUCUCACUUUUACUCGGGAAAGGUAGACCCGGUCAAAUACAAAAUGGCUUAGUCGGCCCUUACACUAGAAUAUAUAUAUAUAUAGAAUAGGAUGCGCUUGCCUAAGAUACUCCUCUUUCAAGGUAUUAGCUUUUUUAUCCAACCAAAAAUAGUCAAAUAGAAUUAGUAGGCUUUUGGAAGGUCCAGCCUCAAUAAAUUCCUUCUUCUUAUUGUUUCGCCCGAGUCCGUAUUGACAGGAAAAUAUGGGAAUGAAAUACCGGAACCGGAGAACUGCUUUGCUUCACACCUAACCCUAUUUAUUGUCUGGGAACCUUCGACCUUAUAUGAAAAUGGCCUUGGUACUUUUACCCUUGGCUAGUUCGCAGAGCCAUAUCAGUGACUUUGCGUUCGACUGUUGCCAACUCGGGUGUUUUUUCUUCCCGAAUACUGCUUUUAUUAGUGAUAAUAAGUGGGCAACCUUCUUGGUUAGAGUUAUAGGACAGCGAAAGGUUCAAGUGAAAGCGUAAGCGAGAGGGACGAAGCGACUUCAAGUAUUGAUCUAUACCUACAUGGAGAGGAAUAAAGAAUAUGUGCACUUUCGGUAUGGGCGCUGACUCCGUUCCCUGGGUAGCCGAGGUUCACUCAAAGGGCCAAGCAACGACUAGACAAGACGGCAAGUAGACAAGAAACUAUGUAUUGCAGUAUAUGGUAGGGGUGCCGAUCAGAAUGAACCUAAGUGUCUAAGACAACAGCCGUCAAGUAAUAAAUCAACUAUGACUGGCAGUACCCGAAUCAAAGUAACACAUAAGAAUUCACCUCAUUGGUACACUCGUUUACCCCCUUCUCGACAACCUAGCGCAGUUGGAUUGGAUAGGAAGUCAGAAUCCCCCCUUACUACUAUAAAGAAUUGGGCAAGUGCCUAUAACACCUAGGCUUCCGUACCCUGCUUGAAGUUUGUAUUUCCCUAUAUUGAUUAAUUCCUUUCUUUGAUUCCCUUAUUGCUUUAUAGCAUUCUCUAACUACUUAUUGGAAUUCUUUAGUGAACCUGUGAGUCUGCCAUUCCUGGCCUGGGGUUUCAACCCAACACUCCGGUCUAUCAGGCUAUACGCCCUUGCCUCCAAGCCAUGACUCCUAGGAGCGAGAAUGAAAUCACGGCUAACAACAAUAGAACACUACCCGCAUAGACUACCUCUAUUACGGAUCAAAGCUAUGAAUAAGGUGCUGAAAGCCUACUACUUCUAAUAUGCUAAUUCGGAACUAAGACUUGAGCUAACAAUAUCAGAAGAAAGAGGUCUACUUUGUUCGGAAGAAACACUCCAACUUGCUCAUUUGAAAUAGCCCCUAUUGAUCUUUACCUUUGAUUUUCUUGCUCGGUUGAAAAAGACCUUUCCUUAUUUGGAGAUGGAAAUAUUAGCCCUUGGAAUGAAUUGGUCCCCCUUCCAGAAUAGGGCGUGUGAGAACGAUAACUUCGAAUACCAGCCCCUUCCACCAAUAAGUGAUCCCACCAUCGUACGUACGGUUGAGGAAGCGCAAAAAGCAGUCAUAGUACUUUAUUGACUUUAUUAGGUAGAGAAAAGCCUAUCGAAGUCUACUCUUCCCCUUCCUUCUAUAUGGGAGCUUGCAUUGAUGCCAUCUUUAUUAGCUUAGGAUCUCUGGGCCGUAAUACUUUGAUAAUAGCCGCCCUUUCUUGCUUUUGUAAAGGGAUAAGUGAUUUCUCCGGCUUUCGAACAAGCAAACAAACAACGGAAACAAACAAGCUUAGUAUAAACAAGCAAUGGCGUUCCGCUCACUACAGCGCGCUUAUUAGUAGUGAGUUAAGCGCUAACGGGAAUUCUUAGCUGCUCUGAUAUUAAUGUUUAAGGAAAGUCAACAGUUUGUUUAGACUGAUUUAUGUUACUCUGUUAUCAAAUCUGGAACUAAUAUGAAAUUCUAUUCAACAAGCAGUGAAGUGUUGUUACGAUGUUACAUAAGUGGUAAUUCCAUUCUUUCUGCUCACAAAGUCAAUCAAGUAUGAAGACCAAGACAAAGGAAUCAGACCUGUAAGCGGGAGUCUAAGAAAAGGUAUGGUUGGUCAGCUUGGUAAGGUAAGUCAGUUUGAAGAGUGAAAUGGGGAGCAAGAGACUCGAUCUGCUCCUAAAGAAAAAGAGGGUGCCCAUACUAGAUGAGCGGAGGAGCUUCAACACAUAAAUGUGAGCCUGGCAUUACCUCAUCCAAUAUUGAUUAUUCUGUUAUCGUAUAUGAUAUUGAAACUACUGUAGUAAGAAUGCGACUAGUACUUCCGGGGCCAAACACCACUUAUGAGAAUUUGACUUGAGAUCCAGAUCCUGUCCUUACUUAGUCUUAUUACUCGUAUUAUUAUACCUAGACCUAUUUAUUGUACCUAGACCUAUUACUCCAUUCCCUCAUCCGAUCCUUAGUAUUAUGUAUUGCACAGGGAGUGGGUCUAUGUUAUUAAUAAGAAAUGCACUAGAACAGCAUUUAUUUGGUGUUGAUGGGAAAUACAUCAUGUCAUACACCUAAUCGAUCUUCUAAUGACCUAUAACACUGCAGUAUCAUAAUUCAAUAAGUAAGUAGAGAACCAAGAGGGUAAACUAGUCCUUAGGGAAUAUUCCACAAGUAAGGCAAAGGCUAGGAUAAAGGGAUAUCGGAUUGGAAGCAAGGUGCUGAAAGCGUUCUAGUGACUUUUCUAAGGAUCUUCAAGUGGCAGAAGAAGCAAUAUAAAGGUCAGUUUAAAGAAGAAGCUGAUACCUCCGAGUUCUGAAAUUGAUGUUUUCCUUGGUCCCCCCCCCCGUUAUCAAAGUUUGGGCUCUCCAUCUGGGCACUCAAAUAAGAGAGCUAUGACCCGAUACUAAAGGAAGAAGCACGCACACUGUUUUCAAUACUAUUGAUUGAUUCUUUCGUUCACAAUCCCUGCUUGAACUGACUUGCUUGGCUCGGCUGGAGGCACCCGGAUCUAAAUUGAGAAGAACACCGAUAUAACCACUGACUAUAAAGGAUUACCCGUGUAGUAGAACUGACCUCAUGCCAUAGGCACUGUUAUCUAAUGGAGGAUUCCCUUCCCGUCUUUUAGCCUUCCUUUCCUGAUAGAGUAUACCUAUCAGUGCUUGGAGUCUGGGUUUACUGUAUAUAAGCCUACCCUUCUUAGCUUAAGGUCUCUUAACUCCUCUUUGCAUUCUUUAGAAGCAGUAGUACCCGCUUGGAAGCAAAGAAGUCAUAUUUACUACUACAACAAGUAAGAUGGAAUACCCGGGCAAUGAAUUCUUAUUAGUGCUGGUGUUGGUUUGAUCCCGGUUCAACUCUUUCCAGUAGCUCACCAUCGUUCCGCUGCCCUUGUUAGCCCUUCUUUCAUUCUACGAUGAUGGAUGAACUAUAUGCCAGUCGUAGUAGUAGUAAUGAAACCAUGACUAAGGAAUUCAAUCAAGUAGUAAAGUAAUGGAAGGAACGUAGUUAGUUGGGCGCAUGUGCGGAAUCGAACUCAGUAGUACGAGAAUCCACUUUUGAAGUUCGAAUUUCAAGGAGUCGUAUUUAGGGCUAAGGCGAGUGUUGAGUAUACAAAUUGCACUUUCCAGUAAGGCGCUACCAGACUAGCUCUUUGUAUCCUAAUCCAUAUUUCUCCUUUUCUUAAUCAGAACUCACUACUAGGUAGGCAGUAUGUCAGAAUGAAAGACAUUAGUCACAGAACUGGUUAGCUCGCCCCUUGCACGGAAUGAAAUACGGAAGUUCGAACUCAACACUACCUGAUAGAGUAGAAACAGGGGUCGGAAUGAAAGAAAGAAGGAAUCAUACUAAUUAGAAUAUGGGCUCCCUAUGACUAAGAAUGAGCAGGUGCAUCGGGUAAUCAAACUCGCAAAUCGGAGUUUCACUCAGCAGUAACGGAAUCCAGGGAAUAAGUAGAAGACCCUACUUAGCUAGCAAGUCAGAAUACAGCUCGUACGGGGAAGAAUAAAGCAGCGCACUCAGUGAAUCAAAAUCAGAAGUCAGGGUACAUCUGUGGGGGAAACUAGGGGAAUGGAACCAACUAGGAGAAUGGAACCACUGGGGAAAAAUCAUUCCACUACUCUCUAUGGGGUUGUGACUCCUGUCUAUCAGAAUUGAAUCACUGCAGGCAAGAAUCCACUUGGGAAUAGGGAUUUGAUCUACAAACAGUAUAUGCCACUCCGAACUCAAAGCUGGCUUUACUUGGGUUCAAACGGACGGACUCUCUUUGGUUGCAUACUGAUCCUAAUGUCACCAAUGUAGCUCAGCUAAAGAAAUCAUCCCAACAAGAGAAGAAUCAUAGACCUUUGCUCGAAUCCAGGAAAUCAAUCAAUAAGUAAUGGAAUGAAUCUACUAUAGACAUAAGGCUGUGACUUCUGCUUCUCAGAAACAAGCUACCGAUGAAUAAAUCUACUUAUAAUCUGAAUUUCGCUAAGAGCUUAGGGUCGGGAAACUCCACUAUUGAUAACAAGGCCGAUACAGUGACUAAAAAGAAUCGAAUCACUGAUAACAGGGCUCGACCCAGGGAAUUCCACUCUAAAGCAGUAGGCUUGAACCGACAUUCAUAAGAAUUUGACUCAUAAGUAGCAGACCACCAUCUAAACCCAACAAAGUCAAAUAAGAAAAUGUGGGAACUACCAUAAUUAUAGGUAGCAGGGGAAGAACCGAACUCGGAACAAGGAAACCAACCGCCAAUAAAAGGAACCCCGCUCCGAACUCAGGCUAUUGCUCGUCAGCUACAUUAUAUAUCUAUUGACUGAAACUGCGCGCUACUACUCCUUCCUGGCAUCCUUGCUUCUCUUUCUUUGGGUACCUCCUUUGGGUACCUCUGCUUAUUACGUCACUGUUGCAUAUCCGAAAUAGACUCUGGAGUAUAGCGUUAUUAGAAUCAAGCUAGUCAGAGUAUUAGUAUUAAGUAGUAAGGUAUUGUAUUGUAAUUCCACUCAGAAGUCAGAAGUCGACUCAAAAGUGAGAAUAGUCGUUAAGGUAGGCAGCUUCGAGGUCGAGGGACAGCCAAAGUCUCAUCAGGCGCCAGAGGAAUCACUUUGAUCUGUUGAGUUCUCAUGGUAAGUUGCUGAGGAGUUAAACGAAUACAAGUAAGGCUCGGAGUCUACACCCUUAUUUAGAAUGGCCAAGACACGAAAAUACAACUCUAAUAAGAAACUUCAUAUAGUCUAUUUUUUAGUGGUUUUCCUAGCGUAAUUAGAGCAAAAACGAGAUGACUCUUUCUGUUUUUUGAUUCUCAAAUGGUAGUUGUUUUCUCUUGAACGAUAGAGAAAGUUGCUUCGACCAAGACCGGAACGAUAGCUCUUGUGCACGACCGACCGAACGAACAAUGAACGAGGUACUACCUUCUAUUCCUUAGUUUAGAGCUAAGGGCUUCCACUUACUUCCGGAAUUCUGCAGUUAAGGUAUGAGCCCGCCUCUCCUAUGUUUUUGUAUGCCUUUCCUGUCUCUCCAAGGCGACUUCUCCUUUAGUGCAGUCUGAUUCCUCUCAAAGUAGGAAAAGCACUACAGGUAAACUGCCUAUAUGCCUGAGAACAAUAAUAAGCCUGAAAUAUUCCUCACUCAUCUUAGACUGAAACUGCUGGCACCUAACGCUGCCCUUACUUUACGGACUCAAACUCACGCCUAUCGGGCUUACUCCCUUACUUUCCAACUAGAUCUCUGCUUGCACUCACCAAGCCAACUAAAUACUCUUAGGCUUAAACUACUGUCUUCCAAUCUUGAUCUCCCCCAUCUUGGCCUGUGACUCCCGACCUCGAACCUUACUUUAUAGUUACAGAAUCAAAAACGACCCUAUUAGAUUAAGGCACUACCCUAUGUUGUUAGACUGUGGUCUACCAUAUUGGAAUGAAACUCAACAAUAAUCGAAUUGGACUCAUCAGUAAAAGAACUAAGCCGGUAGUCCGAAGCCCUAUGUUAUCUAUACAGGGAAAAGCCCUACUAUCAUCACUAGAAAACGGACCUAGCUCCCUAAUAUGCCAAGCCUUAUUGCCUUACUGGAAAACUAGAACAAAAGACCUCCGUCUUGCUUAUUUACCUCUAGCUCUUAACUAUCCAACUUAUUACCUUACACUUCCCUGCCCAAGCCGUACUCGCAGCAUUCCCGUUCUCUUGUGUUAGUCCUUUCGUUCCUAUCUUCUACUCUUUAAACAAUGAUCCAGAUCCUUACUUGACUCAAGAUUCUCCUGCCCUUCUAGCUCUCCAGUAUUUAUUCCACUACCGGGCUACAAUUCCCCGAUCUUAUUCUGACUACCUUUGCUUUUAAGCGGAUACUAACGCUACCUAGGCUUACUUUCCUUAAUGCUAUAUUCUUUAACCAACGAUCUGGAUAUCCUUUCACUAAUGCCUUAGAGCCUAUCCCUCUCUUUGCUUUUAUUCUACAACUACUGACUUCAAACCUUGCUUCCCGCCUACCAGUAUGCUCUUACUUUGUUUUCUUAGUCAUUGCCCAUAUCAGACUUAUGUCAGUAAGUCAGCCUCUCCUUAGCUUCAACUGGUAUUACUGUCCUCUAUUCUCUAUACGUGCACAACACAAUUACGCCCCUUACUCUUUAGGAACAGAUCUAGUCUCCGGCUUUCACCUGUGUCAUUCUGCAAACCAACCUUCUCAAACGGAACUCCAUCUUUGAUUCUGAAAACUUCCCUGCCCGAGCCUUCUUUUGACUAUGUAUCUAAACUUCCUUUCUUAUACUUGUUCCUUCCGCUCUUGUAGCUGACUCUUCAAUUACUUAUUAAGUUCUCAUAUAUUAAUGACAUGCUUUCCAAGCAGAUAUAUAGGUGUAGACAAGGAUAUAGGUGUAGACAAGGAUAUAGGCAUAGACAAGUCAUAACCAAGCAAUUCCGUCUAAUAAUAAAGAAAGGGGUUGAUACCAAAUUGAGCUCAAGUAACAAUAAGAAUGGAAGAGCUACUGUGGCAAACAUACUAUUCUAAAUCUACCUAACUAUAGGGCGGAAGCAGCUUCAGCUUCUUCUAAGACUAAACCAAGAGAAGGGGAGCCUCACUACAGCUGAUGAGACUGGCACUAAAACCUUCGCUGAUGAGACUGCAACUAAUACCUUCAAUGCUCAAUGCAAAAACCCCUAUCCAAACUAUGGCUUUACUGCCUAUGUGCCUGACUCUCCUUAAUCGAAAUCCUUAUUUACACUAGAAAGUCUUACUACUUUCCCUCGCCCUGGGGAACAGGCAAUUCUCUUUGACAACACUCGUACCGACACAAUCCGUUUACGUGCACUCAACUCUGACUUUAGAAGUGCAAUGAUAUUCAAAAAUGACACUAGAAGUUAGCGCCCAACCAACUAAGCAAAGAGACGAAGAGGUGUCCUGUUAUUUCAUUCUAUACUAGAGUAACUCAUUAUCAACCAGAAAUGAAUCAAUGAAAACUUAGACUCGCUUUCUCGCACCCGUACUUGUAGACGAACCUUGACCUGCUCCUGUUUCCUUAUCAUUAUUCUUAUCCUGUUUAAUAGACUUCCACUGCUUCCUUCACCUUAGGAUUCUAUGCUUCAACAAAGUCUCAAUUCCAUGAUUUUACUUGUGCGCGUUAGGAGAGGAGUUGGGCCGUUCGCAAAGAGAUGAUCCUCUCUUCCUUCGAUCGUAGAUGACACUGAUUUACUUACCGCUUCAAAGUUGUAUCGCACAAGGGCUUACUCGACAGGCAAGAAAGGAAUAUCGGCUAAUAAAAUAUUAUAGGCACCCGCUCCAACUAGAAGUGUUAACGCAACUAACCUGCUCCAACUAGAAGUGUUUAACGCUAUUAAAGCACCCGCUCAAAGUCGUUUUCAAAGUGUAGUUCGAGCUAAAGUGUCUGUUACUUAGGGUUCGUGGAAAGAGGUUCGGUGCUGUAAACUCUCCGUAAGCAUGAGAUGAGGCUUCUUAUCCGGGGAACUUUAUCGGGCUUCUCGAACUUUAUUGUUGAAGUUGAACGAUAAGGAGCUGUUUCAGUUCGAAAGUAAGCUUAUUGAAAGUACUUAUUAAGCUUAAGUAUCGGGUGAAGGAAUGACAGAGUAAACUAGCAUACUAAAGCAUAGUCGUGGAGAGGAAGGUGCAGACCCAGCCCAGUCCUAAUUCCAGAAUUAUAGCAAGAAAGGGGAGACUUAGAUGCCCAGUUUCGACUCACCAAGCAGCUACUAAUGACCAAGCCAGGCAAGCAACUACAAGACUGAAUAAGUGCCUAACCAGCUCGAUCUCAUCCCUAUCUGGCUCCUAAAACACAGAUGAUACUGGGGAUCCACUCGGAGAAUAGCUACCUUUUCCACUAGAUCUUAUUCUUACUACUAGAUGCGGGGGCCAAGCAACUACAGUUCCACUCGGUAUUCAGAAUCUACUUAACUGUCAACUCUCCUUUCUGAAGUGUUCUCCUAUAUAAGGGGAAUACCUCAUUACGUAGGGGACAACAGGCAUAGAUCAGAGCCAAACAAUUCUCUCUUUUGUUCUUAGCUUAACACAAGCACCCAACCCACUCAUAUUCUGUGCUAUCGGACAGCAAAGCAACUCUCUCCUCGGGCGAAACCACAUUGAUUCUUCAGGCGAAACAUCGAGUGUCAUCAUUCAUUCAUAGGUCGUUGGUGUACCCAAUCAGUCUUCUUAUAUUGCUGAUGCGCCCAAUCAGUCAGUCUGUUAGCGAACCUUUUGAUGUUGAUCAGGGGAUUAUCAAUUCUUAAAGGAAAGAGAACUCGGGUUGGUUAAGAGAGGAGCGAUUAGAUGAGAGCUAUAGUUUCUGAGAUGAGCAUUAGGCUCGGCUUCCAUAUAGGAUUACUUGAGCACCCAAAGAGACAGACUAGACUAUCCUCAUCUGUGACUCAAAUCUAUAUAAAGCUAUUUCUUAUCUCAAUUCUUUCAUCUCUGUGCGCCUGGUUUUUCUUAAGACGCCGCGCGUAUUUCAUGGCGUUAGUGAGUGGUGCCCAUGUCUCUGUCCUUAUAGUCCAUGGUGCCGUACUUAUGUUAUAUUCAAGGGGUAGGCUGCUUAUAUUCAAAUCUGCAACUUCAAGAAGAGAGAACAAACAACGGAAGAAGCGCUUAGUUUAGUUCAAUUCGCUCUUGUGCUUACGUGAGCUCUUUUGAGAGCCCUUGUGCUAAUGUGAGCUUUCGGGUCGGGGUACGUUAGAAGUUCGGAUGAGGAAUCUAGUUAAUAUAUAUAUAUAUAUAUUACUUUCUUAUCUAUUUUUAUGUACUUGAAAUGAAAUUGGGGCUAGUGACUGAAACAAGCGAGGGAACAAGCAAAGACUAUCUUAUUCUACGCUGGCGAAAGCAAAGGAACAGGAAACGGAACAAGACUAAGUGCUAACCUAACGCAAGAGUCAGGAGCAAGUCUGGUUUUCGUUGACUUUGUUAGUGCUAGUGAAAUGAUUUUCUUUAGAGCCUGUAGUCAGAUAAGAAGUCUGGUUACGCUACGCCAGCAGUAAUAAGUGAUGAAGAGCCAACUGGAAUAAUAAUGAAUACAUAUAUACCAAAUGCAUCAGUCAAAUAUGGAAAUGUUGCUGUUCAGGCAUCAAUGAAACAGUUCAGGGUACGAUAAGAUAAGUUGCCUUACUGAGUUGCCUUAGAUACAGAAUAUGGGUCAUACGGGAUUCCCUUACUGUUACUAAGGUAAAGAAGAAAGAGGUGUUAUCAAGUAAGCGCAGCAAGCGGGUAUCUCGGGCUAAAGUAAGCUACCAGUGCUACUACUAUUAGGGCAGCUAGGCCACCUACUAAUGUAGUUCAAUUCUGAGCUUUGAGUUGAGGUCGGCAAGGGAAGCUAUUCAAGUUGAGGUCGAUGGAAGGUAAGAAGAAAUUCCCAUGGAAGCGAAGCUCUAGUGCUGUUCCUGCCCCUUGUACUGUUCCUGCCCCGCUGCCUUAGCUUUGGCACUGCUUCCGCUCUCACUCAACUGGAAUUUCUGCACUCAAAGCAAGUACUAGAUGAUGACCUUACUUUCACCUUUCUUUCCUAAAAUGGGCUCUCUCUUCUCUAUAUUAUGAUUAUAGGCUACACAAGCAAAGGGUAUCUGAGCCAGUGAGUCUCUGGUUGCUAGUCUCUGUUCUUCCUUCACCCUGUUGAUUCUCGAACCUCUUAUCUGCUUUUUGAACUCUCACCUCUUAUCUGCUUUGUGUCUUGAUACGACAACACUCGAAACGGAACCUUGAGACCCAUCUCUGCCUCUCGAGUCGCCAACAGUAAACUGCCAAUAACGGAUCGAAACGACAAGGAGCUACAGCACCGACAAGAAGUGAUGCUAUUUGUUCAAGUGGUGCAAUAGAACAAGAGUUGUGUAAGAGAACAAGAGUUGGGGGUCGGGGUAUAGGGAAGGUAAUCCUCCAUCAAUCUUUCUUUUCUGCAAGUCAAAGCCCUUUCUUUGGAGACUUCUGCCGUUGUACUGGUCAUCUUUGAAGCUUUUAGUCGCCUUCUUUCCGCACGCAGGCAUUAUUCUUCCUAUUCUCGAUUAGACAGCUCAGGCAGUCUCCAAUCUCUAUUUGCGGAUGGUAGACAUAUAUAUGGACUUGGUUUCGGUACUGAGUGAAAUUGACUACCUGCUUGAAUACCAAGGAGGCUUCCCCCGUCGAACUGAAGGACUAAAAAACGAGGAAUAGGAAAAAAACCUACGCUGCUAAUUCUGGAAAGUAGUUUAUGACUUUCCUUUGUCCUUAUUUUCUAUGUAUUUAUAGAGGUUUAGUGCUACACCGAUGCCUUCACAUUUGAAUGAGUGGCUCUUUAUGCUAUAGUGAGAAGUAUGAGUAUUGCCCUGAGGCGGACCCUGAUUCUCUUUGAGGUUAAUAUCAAUUCUAGGGUAAACAUUGAUGGAGCCGAAGCCGAAGUCAGUCCUACUUUAUUGAUGAUAGGAAUCGCCGUUCUCUUCUUUCAAUCCCGCCUUAUCUGCUGAGCCUAUCGAAGAAAAAGGUUUCAGAAGAAUCAUCAACUCCACGGGCGUUUGUUUUGAUAUUAGAUUCAUUAAGUAUGCUUCACCGAAUCCAUUAAGUCUGAUGCUGUGAAAGCCUUUGCGAGGCCCAGGCUAAUAACCGAAAUUUCGAACUGUGUUGCAUGGCUUAAGGAGUUCUAAGAUUGACUCGCGAGAAGCUGGAAUCUUGCAUUUGUUACCGAUGAUGACAUGUUGGCGCAAAACCCCUUCCAAAACUGUUCGUGCUAUGUUGAAGCAGAGAUUUAUGGGGUGGCCGUUAAUAGAGGUUGAUUCCAACUCAUUAGUCAAUCUCAUACCUAUGUAAACUGUUGAAGCGCUAGGCAUUCCCCAAGAAAACAUUGGAGGAGCCACCUAUCUAGUAUAUAUAUAUGAUUGAUUUUCUUUAGAAUUGUCAAAUCCAGGUUAUGAGGAAUGGGAUGGUAAGAGUCAAUUGCAACGUUGGACCUUUCAAGAGUCCGAUAGUGUUCCCGGUUGUUUUUGCACCGACGACAUAUCACGCUCUUCUGGGCAGACCAUAGAUUCAGAAAGACAAUGCGGUCCGGUCCCGUCGACAUACCAUCAAUGCCGUCGACAUACCAUCAAUGUAUUAAAGGUAGAAGAAAAGGAAAAGGGGAUAGAGUACCUGCGGUGAGCAUACCCUUCGAAAGAUCAGAAAUCCAUUUGGAUGACCCUAUCCAUUAUUCGGAGUUUGCCGAGGAUGGUACGCCCUGGAAAGGAAUAAGAGCCAGAAAACAACAUAAUGACCAUGUCAGGUAACCAGGUUACUAGACAAUAUUGGAAAAACCGCCACUAGGCUUACACUGAGUCCUAAGGACGCAAGUCAAGCUCGUCCAAGGCCUUACCUUAGAUUUCGAUUGUUGGGGUGUCUCUGUAGAAUUUCUCUCUCUAUAGGACCAGUGCAAGUUGGAGUGAUAAGAUAAGCGCUUUCGAAUACCUCCCACGCCUUAGAUAGAGUUCUGUUCCAUUUCGUAAGCGAGUGUUCCUUUUUCUUACUUCCAUUCGCCCCUACAAUUGCAGACUCCUUGUCAGAAUAGUUAUAGCACAAGGGAAAACACUAGCAAGCCAAUUACAGUCUGUCGGUUUUCGAAGGGCCUGUUGGAAUUGUAGUUCUCUUUGCUGUUGUGCCAAGCGAGGGAGUUCUUUGAUAACUAUACCAGAAUUAGGGAUAAGGCAAGUUUUCUCUAAUAGGAUGAACUUUCUCUUGAAGUAGGUAAGAGAGUGAGCCCGUGUCCUCCUCGGGGAAAGGCAAGCCAUCUAGUCUCAGUGCAAAUAAUACCCUAAAUCAAGCUAAUAAGACCCUCAUUUCAUAUACCCCUUUGUUUGAGAAGUGUUUGUGUUGCUAUUAGCAUUUCAUCCAUUGGGAAUUCCCUGACAUCUAGAGUUGAGUUGAAGUGCCUCUUAUUGCCUUUACAAACAAUUGGAAGUCCCUUCCUUACCGUUCGAGGAUUGACUCGAGUGUCUAGAUAUCAGACUAGUUAUCAAGUUCCCGAGUCACAGCUAUUUUCUUUGAUUUGGAUGGGUUACACCUACGGAGCAAGUCUGCUUUUAAGCAUUAUAUGAGUAAGCAAGGACUGUUGCUAACAAGAUGAAGCAUAUAAGCGGGGACAUCCGCCUCUUCGCCAUAGCUAUAGCAUUCUUUACCAUAUAAAGAUGAGUCUAGAACAUCUGUCCGUCAGUCUCCUUACAAGAAAAAGAGCCCUUCCUUUCUUAUCUCGUAUAUUGACUAGAGGCAUAUUCGAUUGAAGUUGAUUCUUUCGGGCAUCUUAGUAAAUCAGGUUAAUCCCGAACUGCUAAGUCCUAUUUCUGAUUUAUGGAAUUUCUUAUUUAUUGAAGAUAAUCACAAAGCAGGCGGAUGAGAAGGUAAGGUGCCAAGGUAAAGGCUAAGCGACGUAUCUUUCAGACCAUAGGUGAACCACCUUUCGCUAAGGAAUGAAUUGAAGACCGCUGGGGAACUUCUUCAAAAAGAUGGAAGCGUGGGUGUCCCCUGUCUUUAUCCGGAACUUCUUCAAAAAGAUGGAAGCGUGGGUGUCCCCUGUCUUUAUCCUAGAGUUAUAUUCAAACACUAUUCUCAAGUGUUUUACUAGGCUUUCGCUUUCCCUUGCUUUCGGGCCAGCAGGGCUUUUUCUACUAUUCUUGCGGCGGGGCGGGUUCCGUCAUUCUUAAAGCGGAGUCUUUGUCCACUAUUCGCUGGUAAACCUAUUCUGAAUCUUCUUUAGGCUCAUGACAGGACUUGCUCAUAACUUGGUUGAAGAUAGGAGAAUGUUUAGGAGUUCGCUAGGGAAAGACGAGAAUCAGCUUUACUAUGACUCAGACUCUUUUGCUGCCUGGUUGUACGUUAUUUGAAUUGCCCCGUGAAGCAUCUGUUGUUGGAGGGGUUCACCUUGAUGGGGUUCGAUUUCGUAGAGCUCGGGAUGGAAAACCAAUCGAAAUGACUAUACGAUUUCGGUCCCUUUAUCCGGUUGGGUUGUCACAUCCACGUUGGCUAUUGUUGGCGAAACAAAUCUGAUGGGAUAACUAGUAUCAAACAAACCCACUCGGUAAGUCAAAAGGGUUUAAGUGAGGAUCAGUGCCCUUCCCGUUUUCUAUUACGGACUUUUCUGCUUACUAUUGAGAAUGUAGAGCACCUGAGGAAGCCUUCAAUCUAACAAAAAGGAGGGUUGAAGCAAAGCCAUUUCGAUGUACAAACUUGCGUUCCUCUAGGAUGACCUUUGCAGGGCUGGGCAACCCUAUGUCUUUCUUUGACCGAAUGGCUUUGAAAGUUGCUAACUCGGUAGUUGCUCCCUAUUCUCGAACUGGAAAAUGAUGAUGAUUAUGACUACUUACCCAUAACUAUACUCUGAGCAAUAGCAUACGAUUCAGUGAAAGACCCUUUUCUUUGGAACCAGACGCUUAGGGAAGACGCUUAGGAGUUAG
rnacentral:lncRNA from 1 species